rnacentral:lncRNA from 1 species
GCACGUUCACUCAUAUAUGCUAUUUCUACUCUGGAAGUACCAUCCACAUAUAUCCAUCCAUUUCCAUCUCCAGAAUCACCCAAAAAUAUUCUACUCCUAAUCCGGGAGAGAAUAGCCAAAAAUAUUGUUUUUUCCCUAUGAAAUAAAUGCUCAAGUUAUCUUGUUACUACCACUUGCUAUAUUAUCUCAAGAGAUGAGUGCUCUAAAAAAAGAGAAGAAAAGAGAUACGAGGAAAUAAAAAGGGGCAAGUGCCCGGAACCUCGAAAGAAAAGAAAAAGUGAGACGAGAGGUAAAAAUGGACAAGUGUCCGACAGUAGAAUUAGAGGUACAAGAUACCCACCUGAGAGAAAAGAAAAAGAAGAGCAUCUCAUUCUCCUCAUAAAGUUUCAAAAAGCAAGGAAGGUAUGUAUCCCCUCAAAGAGCAAAAGUAGAAUUAGACUUUCACCAUUGUUAUCACCAUCAUCACCAUACACCAUUCAUUCGCCACACAUGCACAUCUUGAUUUGACUUAUUGAUUUGUUUCUAUGGAUCCAUGGUUUGACUAUGCAAUAAAUGUCUUGUAAGUAUGUAUAUUUUAUCUCCCACCUAUGAGCUCCAGAUAUUAAAACCUUAUUAGAGUAGGGUGAGAGAGAAGGCAAUGUCACUAUGCCUUAUACUAAAAAUACUACAUAUCUUGAGAGAAGGCGUAUACCAUCACUGCCUUGGUAAGGAUCCAGAAAUACCACAAAAGAGAGAUAUGAGAGAAUCAUACAAGGAAUUCUGAGUUUUAUUUGAAAAUCUGCAAAAACCCCAGAGCUAUAGCUGAUCAAGAAUAAGAGACAUGACACUUGGCUAGACUAUUCUAUCUUUUAACUACUCAAGACAGAAGUGACGGUUACAAGUCCCAUGGUGAAGGUAAAGUAAGUAAGUUUUAAGUCUUGACAGUUUACUCUAACUCAGAGAUGAGAUCUUAUUUAAAAAAAAGCAUGUGUACCGUCAAGUUUUAAAGAUAUUACAACAACUUAUGAUCCAUUGCUGAGUCUAUCCUUGCUCAGGGACGAGCAAGAGGUAAGCUUGGGAGAGUUUGUUGACGGUCCUUAAGUAUCAAAUUUAAUUAUCAAAUAAAUAAAGAAAAGGAUCCAAAUGAAAUCAACAUCCAGACUUAGGGUUUUAUCUGACAGAAUUCCACGAGUUUUGGUGUUUGUCUAUUUCUGCAGGGGGUUAUCAGGAAAUACGGAAGAAAGGCCCACACGUCGGGAUUACAUAGAGAUAUUAACGUGCCGCGUAAUUAUCUUACAUCUUGUUGAAUACCCAAAUUGCUAAUACCCGAUUUAAACGUUAAGGCGUGCGAGCCGAUUUGACCUUACUAUCGGCAAAGGUGAUAACUCGAAUACUUUGGUCCUGACAACAGCGAUGCGCCCGGAUGCCACGGCCAAGAGGUAUUCACGCGGAACUCGAGAACGCGUCGAGCUUAAGUCGACGAAUUCCUAAGAACUCGUAAUGAAAAGGAAAAAGUAUGACGAAGUCGUCGAAAAGUAGAUUGCUAGAAUAUGAGUAAAAACUGGUGUUUGAUUGAUUGGCUGAUUCAUUCCCCAUUACAAAGCCCUAGGGUCUACAUUUAUACCCUGCUCCGAGAGCUACAACCAGACACGACUAGAAUUCGAAUUCCAAAUUUGGACAGAAUCCGUGUACAAAACGAUUUAAACAACUAAGGAAAACACCAAACUAUCUUGCCGUGACAAGCUAGGACACCACCACGGACCACUUGGUAACCUCCAAGUCUUCCUUUUACGCCAUCGGCAGACCCCUCAUCGGCAACGAUCAAUACUGGCCAUCGGCAUGAGCACAUCACCACCCAUGGACUUAGCCACAUCCAGCUAUCUCUUCAUCGGCAACCAUCCUCAUCGGCAACUCAUCCUGUAGACCAAGCACUGCCGUCUUGUCUUGCCGACCUGCAUUCUACCGAUCAUGGACACGUGCCCAAAAACGGUGUCAACACAUGCCCCCCAAUUUCGGAGUAUGAAAUCAUUAAUGCUUUGAAAUUCUCCGCAGUAAUGAUGUCUUUCCGCAAUUAAUUCACCCAAUUUGGUAACCGACAACCUCAAUCUGAACAACCCUGACCUGGUCCUUCCGCAGAUUCCUCGAAAUCCUCAACGUCCCAAACGGACACCUCCACCUUAAUCGCUCAUCGGCAAUAUUACCGUUAUAGGAACUUGCCGAUGAACUGACUAGGACGUCCAGUUCAGUAACGUAUCUUAUCCUCCCAAACGGCUAUCUCCACUUCAUUCGCCCAUCGGCAAUAUUACUGUUACAAGGCGCUACCGAUGGACCGACCAGGAGAUCCCGCACAGUAAAAUAUCUCUGGAUAAUGACCGCUUCCUAUCAAAUCGCCUGCACAAUCCCUUGAUUACCGUGCAAACAGUUACCAUAUCUACCUGAGUGCCCUCGGAUUUCUCGGAUACGGCGAAGAGAUAAGCCAGAUUUGCCCUUGCCCGUUUUGUCCUAUGAAUAGUUCCUUCUCGGGUACUCCUUCCCCAUCACAUCAUUCCACGGCUCCAACCCCACUUUCCGGUGGCGGCGCUGUUCGAGAGCUCCAAGAUCUCCAACGAAGCCCCUUCUUCACCAACUCCGAAGCCCUCGGUCAUCCUCUUCGUGACAAGAUGGCCAUCAACUUCACUGUUCCUGAGGUCAGCUCUUCACUUCACCUUUUGUGCUUUUUCUCGCAUCCCUUUUCAUCCGCAAUCCAUUUCGCUGAACAUUUUCUUUUUCUUUCUUUGUCUUUCUUUUACCUUCAAAACCAUUAGGAUCUGUCUAACAAAAUUGUCAUCCCCAUCGAUCAACCACACCUCCAAUGUCUUGGUCCGUUAGGGAAUCCAGAUCCAACCGACCUCAUUAACGCAGAAACCAACAGGAUCCCUUUUAGAGCCGAGAACUUAUCUUUGGAUCUAUGGAAGGAUACUUUCCGUUUCUGGCCCAGUCCUACCAUGGGAUGGAAGGAUUGGUUCUUGAGGGUCAGUCACUCAAAUGAAGUCCAGUGGGGUGAGAGAAAACUAGACCAAUGCAUCAGGUUGUCUAUUGCCGAUAUACAUAGAAAUGAAUCACUGUUGAUAGCUACAUCAUACUUCUGGUCAGACACCCUCAAUGCUUUUGUCUUUGGCCACGGCCCUGCUUCCCCUACACUUGCCGAUGUAGUUAUGCUCACUGGCCUAGAUGUAUCUUCUACCGAUAGCACUCAUUUCUUCGAUACCAAACCCAGUGCUAAGGUAGAAACUCGUGCCAUCGGCGGUUGGUCAGGGUACAUCCAAAAAUACAGACGAACAGGCCCUGUCAACAUAAAGGAGCAGACCAGCUUCCUGAACAUGUGGUUAGACAAAUUCGUGUUUUGUGGCCGAUCGGCAGGACCAACCUCCUUCUAUCUGGCAGCAGCAGAAAACUUAGCUAAUGGUGGCCGAUUUCCCCUCGGCUGAUACCUGCUCGGUGCAGCCUACCACCUCCUUCAUCAAGUAACUAGAAAACUCCUACUCGGCCAGCCCAUCGGCAACUUAGGAGGUCCCUGGUGGUUCAUCGACAUGUGGCUCAGCCUCCAUAUGCACAAGCGUCUUGAUUUUGACCUUUUUGCACAGCGUUUUCCAAGGGAUAUGGCCGAGGACUAUGAACUGGAUGAGGAGGAAUCGGCAACACGCCCUCCCCUAAACUUCGGUGAGGCUAUCAUAGCUCUGCCUGGUAUAGGGGGUAAUGUAGAUCAGGUCAGGCGAUUCUACCAAACCUUGUAUGAAGGCUUGACCAGAGAGCAACGAGCAUGGUUGCCUUAUGACAAUCCAGACACCAUGUUUCCUCUGGUUUUCAACCCGUUCAAUGAUGCUCUCAACAAGGAUCACGAAGUGAUGAUGGCACUGAUCACUCCCAGAGCUAUGCCAGUAAAUUUCUUUGGCAGUGGGAAAACCUCCAACCAUACCUAUGAGUUUUACAACCCAUCGGCAUUAGCUCGUCAAUUAGCUUUCGGCCAGAUGCCGAUUGCACUCUGUUAUGCCGAUGUAAUAAAACCCAGAGAGACCAUCACUAGCCUCCUUGAAUGGAUCCGAGUAGCCCAACUGCCAUCAAGUGCCGAUACAGAUGCAGACUUGUCAGAGUGGGUUCCGGCCGCCUUCAUCACUCAGGCGUACAAGCAAUGGUGGGCAGAAUGGAAGGAGCAUCUGUUCUGCAGAUCGGCUCUUACGUAUCGCGGCAUGAUCGAUCCCGAGUACGAAGUUCCCGAUAAUACUGUAAGUAUCUUCGAACCGAUGUUUCAAUUUUCUUAAUUUCAUUUCCAUCGAUGAUUCACUUUUGUAUUAUUUUGCAGGUUGACAACACCCCUCCAUCGGUCAGCAGGAGUGGCAAGCCGAUCGACCUAUUUCCAUCAGGCCCGAUCUCUUCAAUCGGCCACAAUGCUCCCACCCUGGCCGCCAUCGUGCAUCGAGGUAUACGCAUCAAGAAAGUUACCACCAGGAGAACUCAGACAUCUCCAUCGGUAGCUGCCUCUACCUUGGCACAGGCGUUCAAGGUAUACUUUGAAUUUUUAUACCGAUCUCACUCUUAUGUCUGUUGUACUUGCACUCACAAUUCUCCCUUUCUGUAUUAGCAUACCAGCGCAUCGGCAAGGACCAAAAGCAAAGGUGCCGAUGCCCCCCAGUCCAGCCAGCAGAAGAGAAAAGGCGUCAAGAGUACCAGAGCAUAAACAAAGCGCCAGAAAGUAGCAACUCCCCCUCCUCCUCCGGUAUUUCCAAUUCCGGUGGAAUCCUCUCCUUCUUCUCCAGAAACACAGACACAACAAGUACCAUCUCCCCCUCAACCGCAAGAAGCACCACAAGCGGAAGAACUCCGACCAGAAGAGUUUCAACCAGAAGUACCUCAGCCAGAAGACACAUCGGCUAAUAUAGGUGAGCAGACUACCGAUCCAGCAGGAUCAAUCAUAUCAUCAGUAGUUUCCUCAAUCCAGACGAGCACUGCUCUUCCCCAAGGUAACACACUUUCCUAUGAAAUUAUUACCGAUGAACUUAUUUCCUUUGUUCCUACAAUCAUUUCUGUUAUUUUUUCAGCUGAUAUAGUUCCAUCGGUAACCCCAGCCGAUCAACUUGUGGUUUCAUCGGCAUCUUCGAGUCAGAGGCGAGAGAUUGCCCUGAAACAAGUAAAUUACUCAAUCCUUGGCCGUAUUACCUAUCAACACCUGACCAAAGAAUAACUGGUUUCUUCUCCUUUUCAGGAGUAGGACUCUCCCGACAGUUUGUUCUCUUUUGCCAUUGACAUCUCUGAAGAUGAAGGUGAAGAAGCCAGCUCUUCUCAGGCGGUCGGGAUCACGUCAGCAGAAAUCAGGGUGAAGCUAGAGGAAUUAUCAGCCCUCCUUCAUCAAGAUACAGCUCAACUAGUCGAUGACUCUGAUCCGGCCAAGGCUUUGUUUAAGACCCAGAGAGGCCAAAUCCCCGCCAAUACCGAAGAAGUCCUCUUUCAAGCAGCUCAUCUGGAGAGCCGUCAACUGCAGUACCAGAGGGCUGCCCAACGCCUUGCCGAUAGAGCCGCUCAGACUCAGCUCUCCGAGGAGAUGAUGAAAGAAAAGCUUCUUACCGAUGAAAAGCACAAGAACAUCGGCACCUUGAAGUCCUCAGGAGAUGCACUGAAGCAAAAGAUUUCUGACUUAUCGGCAAGAAGAGAAACUCUGCUGGCAGAACUCAAGCAAGUAGAGGAUGCCCUGUCCCAAGCCCGACAAGAAGAAAGCCAACUGCCGGAGACAAUCAAGCUUCUUGAGCAAGAACGAAACGUCCAUGGCCGCAAAGCAUUGCAGUUGAAAAAGAAAUUGAAGCCGGUGGAAGGUUCUGCCGAUGAAGACGCCAAAGAGAUAGAAGCAGCUAACCAAAUCCGCUUACGCGCCAUAUCGGCCAUCCAAGCGCUGCUAAACAUGUGAGCCCUUCAUCGGCAAGACACUCGCUUCUCUCUGCUUUCUAGCUUUCUUGAUGUUUAGUCUAGCCGAUAAGACUGUUAUCGGCAUCUUUUGAAACAUUAAGUCCGGCCCCAGACACAUUUCAAUCCAGCCGAUAGGAGUGCUAUCGGCAUUUAAACUUUUAUGCAUCAACCCAUAUACUUGGGUAGUACUUCUUCAGAUAUUUGUCAUUUAAUGCUCUGGGAAAUUCGACCCCUUCAAGGGUUUCUAAGAUAUAAGCGUUACCAGGAGCCGAUCGACUUAUCCGAUAGGGACCCUCCCAAUUGGGAGACCACUUCCCAAAUUUUGAACUCUUAGUCCCGAUUGGUAGGAUCAAUUUCCACACUAAGUCUCCAUCGGCAAACUCCUUAGCGUGGACCUUCUUACCAUACCACCUGGCAACCCUCUUCUUAUUCUCUUCUAUACUCAUCAAGGCCUUCAGCCGAUGUCCUGCUAGAUCAUCCAGCUCGUCUGUCAUCAAAGUAGCAUAAUCAUCGGCAGCCAAUUGAUCUUGAAAAGAUAUUCGCCUAGACCCAGCCUUAAUUUCCCAAGGUAACACUGUAUCAUGCCCAUACACCAACUGAUAGGGUGAAACCUUGGUCGAUCCAUGACAAGCCAUCCGAUAUGACCAUAAAGCUUCAGUUAACAACGUGUGCCAUCUUCUAGGAUUUUCUUCAAUCUUCCGUAUAAUAAGCUUAAUAAUUCCUUUGUUAGAUGCCUCGGCCUGGCCAUUAGCUUAAGCAUAGUAAGAAGAAGAAUUUAACACCUUAAUCCCCAUACCGAUUGCGAAUUCAUCAAACUCCCCUGAUGUGAACAUAGUGCCCUGAUCGGUAGUAAUUGUUUGAGGAAUCCCAAAUCGGUAAAUAAUAUGCUCUUUCACAAAAUCAAUCAUAUUGGCCGAUGUGACUUUCUUCAAAGGAAUAGCCUCAACCCAUUUGGUGAAAUAGUCGGUGGCAACUAAAAUAAACUUAUGCCCUUUGCUAGAUGGCGGAUAAAUCUGGCCGAUCAAAUCAAUAGCACAUCCUCGGAACGGCCAAGGCUUUAUAAUAGGAUUCAUAGCCGAUGCAGGCACCCUUUGAAUAUUACCAAACUUUUGACAUCCUUGACACCCUUUGAAAUACUUAAAGCAAUCCUCAAGUAUGGUCGGCCAAUAAUAUCCAUUCCUCCUAAUCAUCCACUUCAUCUUAAAAGCUGACUGAUGUGCUCCACAUACCCCUUCAUGGAUUUCUCCCAUCAAGCUCUUAGCUUCAUCAUCACCUAAGCAUCGCUGCAUCGGAGAAGAAUCCCAUCAAUAGUCCGAUAAUACAAUUCAUCUUCGAGGAGCACAUACUUGGUGGCUUGGAACCGAACCCGCCUUUCAACUUUCUUAGAUGGAUCCUGCAAAUAAUCAAUGAUUUCUUUUCUCCAAUCAUCGGCACCGAUUGCCGACAUUACAUUAAUCAUGGGCUGAUAUCCCGAGACCUACUGAGCCAACCGAUUGGCCUCUUCAUUAAGCAAGCGAGGAACAUGCUCUAAUCGGAAAUCUUUGAACUCCUUUAACAGUCGCAUACUCCUUUCGUAAUAAGUUAUGAGAACUUCACUUCGGCAUUCAUAGCUUCCAGUCAAUUGAUUUAUAACCAGCACAGAACCCCCGAAGACCUCAACAGCAUCAGCAUGAACUUCCCUUAACAAUUCCAAUCCCUUUAUUAAAGCUUGAUACUCAGCCUGAUUAUUCGUCGACGUGGCAACAAUCGGCAAGGAAAACUCAUACUUCCUUCCCCGAGGGAAAAUUAAUACUAUACCGAUUCCUGCCCCCCGGUCACACGUAGAUCCAUCAAAGAAAAGCGUCCAAGGUACAAUUUCCAAAGCUUCCACUGUACCACAAUGUUGAGUUACAAAAUCAGCCAUAAUCUGCCCUUUAACUGCCUUAACCGAUUCAUAAUGCAGAUCAAACUCCGACAGCGCCAAAAUCCACUUACCGAUCCUGCCACUCAUAAUCGGCAUGGACAGCAUGUACCGGACCACAUCAUCCUUGUAAAUAACAGUGCAUUCGGCUGAUAACAAGUAGUGCCUCAAUUUGAUACAAGAGAAAUAUAAGCACAAGCAUAGUUUCUCAAUAGCCGAAUACCUGGUCUCAGCAUCAAUCAACCUCCUGCUUAAGAAAUAAAUUACACGCUCCUUCCCUUCAAACUCUUGAAUUAAAGCCGAACCGAUGACCAUCCCAUCGGUAGAUAAAUACAAUCUGAAUGACUUCCCUUGCUGAGGUGGAAUCAGUACUGGAGGACUCACUAAAUAAUUCUUGAUUUCAUCCAGAGCCAACUGCUGUUCUUUCCCCCAAACAAAUUCUUGAUCGGCCCUUAACUUAAGAAGAGGACUGAAAGCACGAAUUUUACCAGACAAAUUAGAUAUUAAUCUUCUGAUAAAAUUUACCUUGCCGAUCAAGGACUGGAGCCAGUCUUGUUGGUAGGGGCGACUAUUUUAUUGAUGGCCUCAAUAGAUCUUCGACUAAUUUCAAUCCCGCUUUGAUGCACCAUGAAACCAAGAAACUGUCCUGCCGAUACACCAAAUGCACACUUAUUGGGAUUCAUUUUCAAACCAUGCUUUCUUGUGCAUUCCAACACCUUUCGUAGAUCGGCAAGAUGCUUUGUGAAGUCUCCAGACUUAAUUACCACAUCAUCAAUAUAAAUCUCCACCAAUUUGCUGAUGAAUUCAUGAAAUAUAAAAUUCAUGGCCCUCUGAUAAGUAGCACCAGCAUUCUUCAAACCAAAAGUCAUGACUAUCCAUUCAAACAACCCAACAUGACCAGGACAUCUAAAUGCAGUCUUUGGAAUAUCCUCUUCAGCCAUGAAUAUUUGAUUGUAUCCUGCAUUGCCAUCCAUAAAGCUAAUAAUCCGAUGCCCAGCCGCAGCGUCAACUAGCAGAUCGGCAACUGGCAUUGGGUAGCCAUCCAUCGGUGUAGCUUUGUUAAGAUUCCUGAAAUCAAUGCAGACCCGAAGUUUCUCGUUCUUCUUGUAAACCGAAACAACAAUGGAAAUCCACUCGGCAUACCGACACCGCCGAAUAAAUUUGGCUUCCAUAAGUUUAGUUAUUUCGGCCUUGAUGUCGGGAAGAAUGUUAGGAUUACAUCGGCGAGCUGGCUGCUGAUGUGGCCGAAAUCCAGACUUAAUGGGUAACCGAUGUUCAACAAUUGAUCGGUCCAAACCAGGCAUCUCGGUAUAAUCCCAAGCAAAGCAAUCUUUAUAUUCCUUUAACAAAUCGGUUAACUGUUGCUUACACUCAGAAUCUAACUUAGCACUAAUAAAAGUGGGUCUAGGCUUAUCACCACUACCUAUAUCUACUUCUACAAGAUCAUCGGCCGAUGUGAAUCCCUGGCCUAACUUUCCAUCAUCGGCGAACCUAUCCAUUAAAAACCUUCAUCAGAACCGACUGCUUGGAUCGGUGGAAUCUCGUAAUCGGCAACCUUGAGAAAAUUCUUUUCCCAAAUUUCUCCUGAAAUACACCUAGUCCUUUCGUAGGUGUCUGCCUCUGCCGAUGCGAUGACAUAAGAAGAAUCUCCUGGGACAAUUUCAAUCUUGUCACCUACCCACUGGACCAAGCAUUGGUGCAUUGUAGACGGGAUGCAACAAUUAGCAUGAAUCCAGUCUCUUCCCAACAGUAAGUUGUAAGCACCCUUUCCACUGAUCAUGAAGAAGGUUGUCGGCAAGGUUUUACUGCCGAUGGUCAACUCUACGCAUAUUGCCCCCUUGACCGGAGACACGUUGCCUUCAAAGUCCUUGAGCAUCAUAUCGUUCUUGGUCAGAUCCUGAUCUCCCUUCCCAAGCUUCCGAUACACUGCAUAUGGCAUGAUGUUAAUAGCAGCUCCACCAUCAAUCAAAAUCUUGGUCAUCGGCUGGCCAUCAACCCUUCCUUUGACAAACAGAGCCUUAAGAUGCUGCCUUUCAUCAUCGGCAGGCUUCUCGAAGAUAGCUAUCAUCGGAUCUAGAGCCAACUGAGCUAUUUGAUCAGAGAACUCCAACUCAUCAUCACUGGAUGGCGCAAGGAACUCCAUCGGCAACAUAAAGACCAUGUUGACAUCUGCCGAUGGACCUUUCCCCUCUGGAUCCGGUUGUUGCUGAUCCCCAGACUGUCCAGAGUUCUCGCCCUUGCUUAACUCUUCUCGCCUCUCACGGUGCAGCCUCCUUUUCUGUGUCCUAGUCAAUCCCUCUGGACACCAGGGAGGAAGUUGCUGCUGCCUUACCGAUGGGUGACGAUUUUCUUUUGGCUCCAUCCGGUAAGUAUUGGCAUCCCUGCAAAAUAUGAACUCAUCGGGAACCCGUGCAUUAGCCAUUUCUUCAAGUUCUUCCUAGUUCCUGGGAAAAUAUUCAACACGAUCCCCAAGCCUGUCGUGCACACUGAGUCUACCCCCAAGCCGACCAUGAACGGAUGCUCUCCCCCUAAUCGGCCCAUUAAAUCGCCGAUCAUUAUCACGAUAGUACCGAUCGGACCUGUCAUACCGGUCAUAACCGUUGCACUCAGGACAAUCUCUGAUAGUGGGAAGUUUGAUAUUUUCUUCCCAACAAUGAAUGAAGAACGGGCAAUUCCAGUGAUCCUUAUGCCUAUUCCACUCCUGUCGGCAUCUUUCCUCUUCCCGACGAUAAUCCUCUUGCUGGCGCCGAUACCGAUCUUCACGUUGCUGCCAAGUCUCCCGAGGCCUCCUGUGAGUUAUCACAAUACCAGACCGGGUAGGCCCUCCUGAGUUAGCUCCCUCCUGGAUCAAACCUUUCCCUUUGGCAUCGGCAGUAGUGAUCUAAUGCUGAGGAUCCACCGAUGCACUUCUUUCAGCUGCUUCCGACGUCAAGACAUUGGCCUUUCCCUUAGCAUCCAACAUGUUCGUUGGGAAAGGAUGUUGAUCAAUCUUCAUCGGCUUCUGGAUCUUGGAACUGUCAAAUUUGAUCCUUCCAGAGUCAAUAGCCGAUUGCAGCUGCUGUCUGAAAACCUUGCACUCAUUGGUGCUGUGAGAAGUUGCAUUGUGCCACUUACAGUACUUCAUCUUUUUCAAUUCCUCGGCCGAUGGGAUCACGUGAUUUGGUGACAGUUUGAUCUGACCUUCCUGAAGUAGAAAGUCAAAUAUCCUAUCGGCCUUAGUGAUGUCAAACGCGAACUUCUCUGGCUCCUUAUGCCCAAAAGGGCAAGACAUCGGCUUCUUAUUUUUCACCCAUUCUGCCAAGCCGAUGACCGGUUCCUCAUCAGAGUCUGAGCUUGCCGCUUCAUCCACAAAUGACACCUUCUUAUUCCACGCUCUCUUGGGCUCGAAAGGCUUGAUAUCUUGAUCAGAAAUUCUCUGCACCAAAUGACUUAAGCUUUCAAACUCCUGAGACGCGUACUUGUCCCUGAUGUGUGGCAACAAACCCUGGAAAGCCAAAUCGGCUAGCUGCCGAUCAUCCAGAACCAGGCUAUAGCAUUUGUUGUUGACUUCCCGUAUCCUCUGCACAAAACUUUCAACCGAUUCAUCAUUGCGUUGCCUCAAUUUGACCAAAUCGGUGAUCUUCUUCUCAUGGACCCCAGAAAAGAAGUACUUGUGGAAUUGUUUCUCCAGAUCGGCCCAAGUAAUCACUGAGUUAGGAGGUAAUGAUAUAAACCAGGUGAAAGCCGAUCUAGACAACGACGACGAGAAUAAGCGAACCCUUAACUCGUCCCUGUUACCAGCCUCCCCGCAUUGGAUGAUGAAUCUAUUGACGUGCUCCAUAGUUGACGUAUCAUCCUGCCCAGAAAACUUAGUAAAAUCUGGUACCUUGUACCGAUUUGGAAGCGGGAUCAAAUCAUAUGCGGGAGGAUACGGCGUCCGAUAAGAGUAAGUGUUGACUUUGGGCUUUAUCCCAAAUUGAUCCCUCAUUACUUCAGCAAUCUUAUCGGCCCAAUAAGCAUCGGCAUCUUGCCGAUGAGGCGGCUGCGGAUCCGGCACCUGCUGGUAAACCUCCACGUGUCUGUGCGGCGCAUGAUCUGCAUGGAACAUUGGGUUAAUCAUUUGGCCCCCAAUCUGUGGACCACCAAGCUGUUGUCUGCCAAUCUGCUGUCCGCCGCCCUGUUGCCCAAGAUUCACUGACUGGUUGGGUAUUCCCUGAUUAUGGAGCCCAGGGUAGAUCUGGCCUUGCUAGAACCCUGUAACCUGAUGAUUCUAUUGGGGCGUUUGUGGAAAGACUUGCUCCCCAAGCCAUCCACUAUUAGCAUUCAUCGGCAUGGGUCCUGCCGAUGACUGGUAAUUGGGCAUUAUCAUUGAAUUGACAUGCCCUGGCUGAGUCAUAAACCUCUGUUGCAUCAGCAUUGAGUCUGCCGAUGCGUUAGGCAUCUGGAACAUCGGAACUUGAGAAUUCCCAGUGUAAGGUCUUGCAGUAGUAGUUGUAGUAUACUGGGGACUCUGAUUCAUCGGCAUGCUUGGGGGUGUCGAUGCCAUAGGAGCCUUGCCUCUCACAUCAGUCGUCUGCGAUGUACCCGGUGUUAACUCUGGAGGCAUACCAUAACCCCACCAGUUAGGAGGAGGAAUCGAUCCUGACAUUGCCGAUGCCAACAGAUCUGUAGCGAGUUUAAUCUGCCCAUCUGAAGUUGGUGGAUUAGUCGUCAUCGGUGUAGAUCGUGCAUUAGUGACUCCUAACGUGCUUGGCGGAAUAGGAAUUUCCGUGCCCGCAGCGGCCGUAGGAGCCGAUGGAGCUAUGACCACCGGUGAUCCUAGCUGAUGAUGAGAGGGGCCCACAUAAUCUGGUGGCAGUUGUCCUUCUUUGAAAGUUCUAGCCACGACGUUGAAAACUGUAUUGGACAGCACACCAGCUUGGUUGAUCAAAGCACGGUUGAUAGCACUAUCAACCAUCUCUUGAAGUUUACCAGGAUUGGCUUCAAAAGUAACCUGCCGAGGCAUCGGCAGCGCAUCCUUCUGGAUCACUUCGCCGCUCCUGUUUAUGCUGAAGGACCUCAGGCAUUGCUGCUUGUAAUCCUCCAUGGCUUUAGCAAUAGCUUGCUUCUGCUCGUCUUUGAGACUAUCUUCUGUCACGGGGAUAACGUUCUCCAAGUCGAACUCAGAAUUCGACAUGUUGAUCUUGAUCUUGAAUCUGGUCCCACCGGGCGUGCCAAAAGAUGUGUUGAUGCAAAAGCGAAUCUGCAAACACAAAGGGCUAAUACCUGAUUUAAACGUUAAGGCGUGUCAGCCGAUUUGACCUUACUAUCGGCAAAGGUGAUAACUCGAAUACUUUGGUCCUGACAACAGCGAUGCGCCCGGAUGCCACGGCCAAGAGGUAUUCACGCGAAACUCGAGAACGCGUCGAGCUUAAGUCGACGAAUUCCGAAGAACUCGUAAUGAAAAGGAAAAAGUAUGACGAAGUCGUCGAAAAGUAGAUUGCUAGAAUAUGAGUAAAAACUGGUGUUUGAUUGAUUGGCUGAUUCAUUCCCCAUUACAAAGCCCUAGGGUCUACAUUUAUACCCUGCUCCGAGAGCUACAACCAGACACGACUAGAAUUCGAAUUCCAAAUUUGGACAGAAUCCGUGUACAAAACGAUUUAAACAACUAAGGAAAACACAAAACUAUCUUGCCGUGACAAGCUAGGACACCACCACGGACCACUUGGUAACCUCCAAGUCUUCCUUCUACGCCAUCGGCAGACCCCUCAUCGGCAACGAUCAAUACUGGCCAUCGGCAUGAGCACAUCACCACCCAUGGACUUAGCCACAUCCAGCUAUCUCUUCAUCGGCAACCAUCCUCAUCGGCAACUCAUCCUGUAGACCAAGCACUGCCGUCUUGUCUUGCCGACCUGCAUUCUACCGAUCAUGGACACGUGCCCAAAAACGGUGUCAACACAUCUAGAAGACUCCAGAAGCCACCAGACCGAAGCGGAGGCGAAACGGGGCCAGAGGCAGGGCGCCCGCCCUCCUGCCCUGGGCGCCCGCCCCCUCUGAGAGUCCAAUCAGGACUCUGCUUCAUGGGAGAUCUCCACCGACCUAAAGGAUCAAGGAUAACCAUUCAAUCAAUGUCGGUUUGAUCCAACGGCCCAUAUUCACUUGAAGGGACUAUAAAACCAGACCCCCUGGCCCCUAGAGGAGAGAGCCUCUCAACCCUAAUUCAUUAUUCUUCAAGGGAGAAGAAGCCUCUGAUCAAGAUUAGAGCCACGACAUCAAUUAUACAUCUAGAUUAGCAUAGCUACAUAGAAUUAGAACUAGAAGGAGUCAAUCUUCAAUUGGUUUCCGGAUCUGUCAAGAGGAUUCUUGGUAAUUCUCUAAUUGUGCUUCUAAUUGCUUUCUAAUUAUCUUUGUUCUUCAAUAUUAUGAAUAUGACUUUGUUCUACUUCAAUAUAUUGCUUAUGACUUUGCUCUACUUGUUUAUAUUCAAGAUUAUAUUGUUCUUAGUUUAUCAUAGUUAUGUACUUGGCUUAGUUAGAUUGGAUCUAUAUACAUGCUUAGGAUCGUAUAGCGUUUGUCCAUCGGAUCCAUGGGUAAAUGAUAGAUAUUGUGUAGGCGUGGUGCUUAUACCGUAUUUAUGUGCGAUUGUACCCAAUAUGCCAGAUCGUGGGGUAGUUCGUGAUAGUGACAGCUUCAUUGAUUCUUAUAUAGUCCCCCUCUCGUGUAUUGGGCUGGCAGAGCAAUAUUAUUACAGGGGAGUGAUUGCUAUGUUUCUCAUUUACCUUGCUAAUAUCACUAUGCAUGGGCGUAGUCUUGUCUCACAAUGAUUGCUAAGUAUGCUUGCACUAAUUAUGAUAAUGCUAGACUAUAUAGUUGAGAAUAACUUAGGGAAUAUUCUUGUAGUUCGUUCUAAUACCAUGCUAAUGGCUUUCUAGAGUAUCUAAUUGAGGUGCUUAUCAUAUUUAUUAUGUGGCUAGAUCAGAUUAAUUAUCUUUGUCACUAUUCAUUACUUUAUAUAUCUUUUAUGUGACAUUUAUCCCUGUAUGAAAGAGUUAGAUAAAUGUUCUCAAUUAUACAUGCAAUGAUGGAUACUCAAUCUCAUAUUCUAUUCUGUAAUCAAUAGUGAUGAUUGCUAAUCCCUUCCCAGUGGUAAAAAUAUAAAUAACGAUACCUGGAAUACUUCCCGGUUAAAAUGCUACAUCGGUAUUAAUCUGUGCGCUUGCAGAUCCCAUUCAUUAUUUAUUUAGGAGAGCAAUUGCAUAUUUCAAUACUGCGUCUCUUAUAUCAUGCUGGGGAUGACAACUUGGCUGAAGUGGUGUGAGGGAUAGGUUUGGCAUUUUUGGCACCGUUACUAGAUUUAGAGAACUUAGUCUACUUUUGGUAAUGAUGUUAAGAAUACCCAACAUGCGUCGCCGUAAAGACCCUCCUCUUGGUCCUACCGGUCGCCGCUGCCGCCUUUGUCGCCCCAAGACGCGUCGGCUCGGUGUGAGGGGCAGGGGGGUCACUAGUCGCCAGAUCGCCAGUGAUCGGCGCGAUGUUUGGAUGACUGCGCGACCUUCGGACCAAAGAGGGCGCGACCUCCUCUUCCUCAUCGUCGUCAUCGGCAAUCCUGACGAGCCGACGACGCUUCGGCGCUUGGCUGCUCUCUACCGGCAGCGCCUCCGUAGGGGACGGAUCCACCACCACUGGCCUUUUCCCCGCCACUCUGUCCUCGGUGGUCGGGGUGGGACGGUUCUGCUCCUCCUCGCUGGUGGUGUAUUGAGGACACCGAGCAGCGUCGUCCUCUCGCGGGUCCAUCCCCGCAGGAUUUUCCAUACCAUGUGCCAGUGAAACGUACACUGCGCACCGGUCAACGUCUCCAAUCUACAGUAGAACCAUCGACAAGUCAUCAACUUAAAGGACAAGUACUCAAAGAGCAGUACUAGUCAAUAACAUUAUUUAUUUACCUUAGGAGCUGGUCGCCCCCGUUUGAAGGCGUGCAUCCGAUCACUGCUUCGAACGAAGUUGUCGUCCGUAAAGUUGAACAGCUAGUUCAUUAGCUGCUGCACCUCCGCCUUCUCUAGACCAUCAGGGCUCAUUCUGGUCGGGUCCUGGCUCCCCGCGUACUCGUAUGCCGAGUGUACCCUCCUCUGGCAGGGCAUCACCCGACGAACAAUAAAGUUACCGACCACUCCUGGCUCGUCUAAGCGGGACCAGUCGAUCAGUUUCAUCAGGUCUGCCACCUGACCAGUGAAUUCCGAGUGGUCUAUCCAGUUGACCCUCUUCUCGGGGAUGUAGCCCACGUCGCAGAACGUGGAGCUGCCCGGCUCUUCCCUGAUAUAGAACCACUUCUUGUACCAUUCGGUGAGAGAAGUGUUCCAUGGGCAGUUGAGGUACCUUCAUCCCAUCACGCGGAUUGAGGUAUAAUCCACCUGCAAUCUUAGAGCCUCCAACUGCUCCCUUCUUCCUCAGACAAAAAAGAUAGCGAAAAAGGUCAAAGUGCGGCUCUAUCCCAACAUAGGCCUCACACAAAUGAAUGAAGGUGGAGAUGAGAAGAAUAGAGUUCGGGUGCAAGUUGCAGAUCCCGAUCUCAUAGUAAAGAAGAAGGCCCUGGAGGAAAGGGUGGACAGGAAUCCCAAAGCCCCUCUUAAAAAAAUCUUCAAAAACUACGAUCUCACCGGCACGGGGGUCGGGGUAGCUUUCCCCUUUGGGCGCCCUCCAGCCACCGAGCUGUUGGUUGUGAAGUAGCCCCAUUCCAACGAGGUCGUUGAGGGACCUCGUGCUGCUUCGGGACUUCUUCCACUCCUUCGCCAUCAGUUCAGCCCUUUUCUUCGAGUCACUCUUCGCCAUUGAUGCUGCAGAAGUGAUUGCGAGCUGGACGAUUAAAGAUGGAGGUUGCAGAAGGCAGGAAUGGCAAGAACAGAAGGCUUGAAGGCAAAGGCAGGGUAAAGAUUACGGGCGUGGUGUUGAGUCUUUAUAGGCAAUGGCUCCACCUCUUCCACUUUCCGCAUUCUUGGGAAGUGGGCGGGCCCUGCGGCGGAUGCGGCGUUUCGGUUUUCAAUAAUUACCGACAGUUAAUACGGUGGCUUUUCUGUAUAAUUGGUGGUUUUCUUUUCUUUAACCACGCAAAGAGCGGCUGCACAGUUACCCGGCGCACCUUUUCAUGCAACCGUCUGACAAUACGUCAGGGUGUCUUGUCACAUCACAUAUUAAUGUGGCAAGAUACUUUUUCCAAAAGACAAAUACAAUUGGUGGAGGAUUAUGCGUAACACCUGGGGACUGUACCGACCACCGUGCACAGUAUGCUCGGGGACUAGUCGACCAGCCCACCAAUUUGAGGUUUUGGGGACUGUACCGACCACCGAGCACUGUAUGCUCGGGGACUGGUUGACCAGUCUACCAGUUCAAAAUUUUGAGGACUGUACCGACCACCGAGCACUGUAUGCUCAGGGACUGGUUGACCAGUCUACCAGUUCGAAAUUUUGAGGGCUAUACCAACCACCGAGCACUGUAUGCUUGGGGACUGGUCGACCAGCCCACCAAUUUGAGGUUUUGGGGACUGUACCAACCACCGAGCAGUGUAUGCUCAGGGACUGGUUGAUCAGCCCACAAAUUUGAGGAGUUCGGGGACUGGUCGAUUAGUGUAUUUGCAGACGUGCAUAAUAUGCUCGGGGACUGGUAAAUUCAAUUUUUAGACCUUGCUACAAGGCUCAUACUUCGUCUUCCAGCAAGCUCGGGGACUACAUCGGUACGAUGCAACUGGCGAUGCAUCACAGUUUUGAAAUUUCUAUGAAGACUUUUUUGACCCUGGCACCACGUGCCUACGUCACCUACUACCAGGCUCGGGGACUAAGUGGGCACACUUCACCUUGCGGUGAAUAUGCUUGCUUUUUUGAGGUCUAUACUUUUCAGAAAAGUAAAGUGGGCACACUUCACCAGGAAAGAAAUCUUUUUCAAUUUAGAGCACCAUGCAUUCUUCGAACAACCUGCUUCUUCGAUGUCAAUGUUGAUCAACUGUCUUUUGAGUUGGUCAAAAUACCGUUGCAACUGUUUGGGCGAAUUUCCUGGUUAUUGAAGACGUCAAGCCUCACUGAUCGAAGAAGCUCAAGACAGCGUGUUACAUCAUAAUACAUGGUGCUCGGGGACUAGCUAUGGGGGUAUAAACCCCUAUACCCUUACGGCUAGACUUGGGCCAGGAGGCUUGGCCCAUCACAAGGACAGUUCGAGGCUUGAUCCAACUACUCGGAGUUUCGCGCAAGGAAACAAGACUUGGAGAUCAAGCCGGAUUCUGGUCGAUUACAAUAGGAAUUGAUAUCGUACUAUCUAUGGCAAUUGUAACCGACGAGGAUUCGUUUCCAGAUCUGUAACCCUGCCCUCCGGACUAUAUAAGGAGGGGCAAGGGACCCCUCUCAGGACAGAUUAUUCUCUCAACACAAUUCAAUACAAUCAGACGCAGGACGUAGGUAUUACGUCCACACGGCGGCCGAACCUGGAUAAAAACCUUAUCUGUGUCUUGCGUCACCAUUAAGUUCGUAACUUGCGCACCGUCUACGGAUAAACUACUACCGUGGGUAUACCCCAAGGUAGACUGCCGACUAGCUUUCGUCGACACUUCCUCUCCCUCUCUCACCCGCUGACAGGCCAAGCCCACCUGUCAGCAUCUUCCUCCUCCAACCGCCCGCUCCCUCCCUCUCUCCCGGUGCUGGAAACCGUAAGCCCCCCGCUCCCACGAUCUCCCACUCCUCUCCCCGCACGCCUCGGCUUCAAGUGGAGAGCGUCUGCGCGCCCGAGCACUCCCCCUCCCCAUUUCCCUCCUCUCCUCGCCUCCGCUCCUGCUUGCUGCGCGCAACGACCAUCGCCGGAGCGCCACCGCGACCCUCCGCGCGAAAUCCGUCGGACCGAGUUGUCUUUGCCCGCUUCGUGCUGUGGUGAGCAUCGCCAUCUUCCCCGCUUCCUCCCGGUGCUCCUCUCGUUUCUUUUUGUGGUCUCUAGCGCCGUAAUCGUGUGCUCCGGCGGUUCGGCAAUGGUGCCGCCGCGGGCCGUGGUGCGCGGGCCCUUCCCCGGCCGCGCAAGGUCCCAGGUUGGACUUGCCUUCGCCCUCUCUCUCUCCCGAAGCUUUUGGUUCGCGAAAUGGUGUACCGUAGCACCCGGACGAUCAACUCCGGCGACCUCGCAUCGCCGGCAAUGGCGGCGCCGCCGUUCCCCUCCUCCCCUCUGGCGGCCAUGCCUCCCCCUUCCUCUCUCUCAUCACUUGCUUCUAAUCGCAGCUUUUGAAUUCUAAUCCAAGGGCCCAGAGCUCCCGAUACCCCUUCGGGGGUGAUUUUGUUAAAGAGACCCCCAUUUUCCCUCUAUUUGCACCGCAGUACUCGGCCAGAGAGAAUUCCAGGGUUUUCCAAUUUAUUUUAAAUCGUUUAAACUUUGCAAUAAUCACAGAAUUGCCACUGAGUUUGUUUAGGCCAUAAAAUAUUCGUUUUAGCUCCGAUUUGACCCGUUCAAGUAGUGUUAGAUUCGUAUUCAAAUUCUCUACAUAUUAGUACCACUGUUACUGCAGUUUGCAACUUUUUAUUUUUACGUCUAGGUUUAAUUAAUUAAAUGGCUAUAGGAAAUCGCCGUAAAUUCGUAACUCGAUCGUUUUAGUUCCGAUUUUCGUGAUCUUCGUAUCUAUGUGAUCGUAGCGAAACGUAGGUUUUGUUUUAAAAAUUUUAUUUUGUUUUUUAUCUGUUGGUGUACUAUUCUAGUUAAAGUAUUAUUUGCUUGUAUGAUUGAACCUGGAUGCGUGUUGUUGUGUGGUGCCGAUCGAGCGCAGAUGGUGACGUGACCGUUGUAACAUCCCUGAUGUUACGAACACUAAAAACGGAUCAUGUCAUCAUAAGCAUUGCAAAGCAUAUUUGUUAAGCACAUUAUUAUGCAUCAACUUAAAACAAGUUUAUUUUGAUUGCUUGUGCUUAGGGAAGUAGAGUGUACUUAUGUUGUGUAGUGAUGCUUGUGUUGGUUGUAUAACCCCUAGGGCGGAAGGUUUCCGAUAAAAUAGGGGGGAAAACCCUGAUUUUAAAACCCUGGAUUUGCCCCCUUUUGUGUAAUUUAAAAACCAAGCAAAAUUUGAGGUUGAGUCCAAAAUCAAAGUUGUAGAUCUUGUCAAGAUGUACAACUUUGGUGUUUUGAGUUUUUGAAGUUUCAAUACAAAAUUCAAAGUAAUUUUGAAAAUACAGAUUUCUAGAAAGUGUCCCCUUUUCCAAUUUGAAUCCCCAUUUCAAAAUCUGUUUGGAAUCUUGAAAAGUGAUCAACAUAAAAGUUGUAGAGCUCAACAAAAUGAACAACUUUUAUGUUGGGAAGUUUUCAAGUUGUUGACAAAAAUCAAAAGUAAUUUUUGGAAUUUCUAUUCUGCCCCAAUUCAAAUCAGUUUUGCCCCAAAAUUGGAAUUUGAAUUUCAAACUGUUUGGCUCAAAUUCGUCCCUCUCUGUUCAAAAUCAGCUUUGGAUCCUUAAAGAUGUUUUGUAGCAUUCAAAAUUCUGAACAACUUUUAUUUUGGCAGAAAUUUGACUUCAGUUCAAUUUUUGAGAGUAAUUUGCAAAAGACAGGGAAGGGAGGGAUAGAGCUUGCUACAGUGUCCCAAUAUGGAUCACGAGCUCCAGUCCCCGCGCGGCCGCAGGCCGUGCAGCGCCGCGCGCGUGCCUCGCCGCCACGCAGCUACUUGCCGGCCGCGUCACCACGCGACGUGGACGCCCGCGACCCCUCCGCCUCGUCCUUUUGAAUGCCCACGCGGCCGACUUCGUGUUCCUCUGUUUCGACGGCCAAAACCACCGGCGACCACUCCCUUCGCAAAUACACCAUACUCGAUCCCUCUCCAACUCAAUUGAGCCUUCCACCACUUUCGCCGCACUCUUGCGAACCCAGAGCGCUCCCUAGCACGCCCUCUAACCCGCCCAAUCGCCGGAGCUUCUUCUUCUCCCCUACCUCCGGCCGAAAGCGCCGCCGUGGGCGCUUCACGUGGCCAGCCCUCCUCCGUGCUUCUCCACCACUUCUGAGCAGCUUGACGAAGUCGUGCUGAGCCCCUGAUGCUCCCCAACUCGUCCCCUCGCCUUCCCGGUGGCUGGAGCGCCACGUUUUCCCCUAGCCCCGUCCGGAGCUCCGCCAGUGCCGCUGUUCACGUGGCCAUGCCUCCACAGACCACCUCUGGCCAAGUAGAGGGAACCAGAGGGUGUGCGUGAGUCCAGGUGAACUCCACCGCUGCUCCAAUGCUGCCGACGAGUACCCCAACGCCGAAACUGCGAGCUCCGACGAGCUUCCUCUGUUUUCAGUUCACGCCAGGGACCUCGCGUUUGAAUUAGACACAAGGCAGGGGUCUAAUUGCGAAGUUCGUGACUCAGGUGAAUAGUGCCAUCAGGACCUGUUUGUAGAUGAUUUGUUAGAAUCUUUGGAAAUUCAUAUCUGGAGUUUGGUAACUCCAAUUUUGGUGAACAAAAUUUUGUUGUGCUCCUUGAAAUGUCUAGUUUUUAUUAAAAAUAUGGAACUGACUAUGUUUUAUAGUAAAAUAAUUAGUUAUGAAUUAUGUCUUUUAAUUAUGCUUAAAAGGAAGAAAUUCAUAUCUAUUGCUGUAUAGCUUCUUUUAAGAUGAAACUUUUAUGGUAGACUAAUGAUUAUGUGUGUGUGCUGUGGUUAAGUUUUUAGAUUCAUUGGAUGACAUAUGAUUAAGUUAUUGAUUUAUCUUGUGUAGUGCUUAUUAAAUAGUUUACAAUUAAACUAAAAAUGAAUAAAUGUAAAAUAUGGUUCCUCUACCUUUAUAUGAGGUUGUUAUAUCAUAUAGAUACAUAAGUUAGCUAUGUGUGUGUAGAAAAUGUCGAGUUUCUUAUUUAUCUUGUUGUUACAUGCUUCCUUGUGAUGGAAAUUUAUCUUUUUCAUGAAAAUUGCUAUACUUAACCAAAUGGUAUGAAAUUUGUACAGUAGACUUUGGAGAGAAUAUAUGAGCUUCUGUAGUUUUCUCAGAUUUUACUGUGUACUUUUGAUAUAUGGUUAUUACUUUGUCUAUUUAUCUAAAUAAAUUAAUAAAGACAUGAAAGGUAUUUAUUUAGGGAUGACCAUGAUAUUUUCUAGUAUCUCUUUGAUGUAUUUCAACUGUUGGUGAGCUGGGUUUUGCCCAGGUUUAAGUUUGGAACAUAAAUGAAAUGUUUGUCUCUGUAAUUCAAUUGUUAGUGGUUUCUCGAUAGUUUUUGGAACAUUAUGAAUUGCUCUAGGUAGAUAAUGUUGGAUGUGAAACUUGUCUAUAACAAAGUUGUAUAUCAUUCAUGUAUCUACCUGGUGUUAAAUUCUGGUGGCAUUUGGCCCUAUAGUUUCUGAGUUAUGCCUGUUUAAAUUUAAGUUUCAGAAAUGGUUGUUCUCUGUCAAAUCUUGGAUCAGUUUCUGUAGUAGUGUAAUUUCAACUUGCUAAACUUAUGAAUCAUACUUUCAUAAUAAAAGAUGAAUUGUAGUAAUUUUCAUAAGCUUUCCAAAAUGUUAUGGAUCAUGAAUUUUGGUGAUCUAUAACUCUGGUUAUAGAUGUAUGAAGCUUAAUGUCUGGUUCUGUCCAAGGUCUGGACAGGAAUGUUUCUUCAUGCUAUUUGGCCAUCUUAUCUAUUAAAUCAGUUCUCGAAGAUAAUAACAAAGUUGUAGAAAAUUAUCUAAGCUUCCCAGAAAGUCUAAUAUCACCUUUAUUGGAUGCUUGGAUCUCUAAUUAUGGUUGAAUGAAGUUGCAUAUAUGCUGCUGUCCUGGUUAUGUGUGCAAAUAGAGUUGAUUGUUUUUAGCUAGCCUUUACUUAAAUAAUGAUUAGCUUAAUUUCCAAAUUAGAAUUUGAGUGCUUUUGGGAUUGUGUGAUGACCUGAGGUCAUUAAGGUUAAUGACCUUUGGCAUUUAAUUAUUGUUUGAUGUUAUACUUAAUUACUGCCAUUAAUAUUUAAUUAAGAAUUGAUUAAGAUAAAUAGAAAACCUAAUCAUUUUAGGUUUUGAUUGAUCUUUGGGAUUGAUUGACAACCAGUGGUUACUUGGCAUGAUAUGCUCCCUGGUUAUGGAUUAUUUCAUAAAUGAUCUUUGUUGUCUGAUAGCUACACAACCUUGUUUAAUAAAGAUGAUAAAAUUUGCUUAGUAGUAAUCUAUGUUUUGAUAGCUAAGUUAGUUUGUUUCUAUACCGUGAAGGUAAGUUGUACUCGAGGUAGUUAUGUUUGUUGUUAUCAUCCAAGAACAUGUAACCUGUCUUUAUCAUGUCAUGAGCAUCUCAUUGAUCAUGCAUAUGCACUUCUACGUGUAGACUACGCUCCAGAGGAAUCUGAUCCUCAGUGGGUUGCUUCUGAGUUUGUGGAUCCAUCUGGUUUUGCUGAGUUGUCGGACUUCCCUUCCGGCCAAGGCAAGCCCCGGACAUUAAACCCUAUCCUUGUAUUUUCAUAAAGUUAUUUAUAUCACUUGAGUUAAUAUGAUGCAUUAGGUGAAUAAGAGUUGAGUGAAUCCUACUUGCUGCAUUAUCUACCUUGAUGAUUUCAAUAUUAACCUUGAUACUUGUUUUAUGAAAAUACUUAGUAUGCUUAGCCCUGCUUAUUAGAUAAGUUUUCAAAUAAGAAAGUUUGAAGGGUUGUUGUGGAAUACUUUUAAGGUCAAUAAUGUUCAACUUGAGACCGGUCGGUGGACUUGCUUUAAGAAUGGAGUCUUAAAGUAGUGUCUCCAACUGUGUCGAUUAAGGACCGUACCGUUGUUGGCCUGUUGUGAUUGAGACCUUUGAGUACAGCCCACAUGCGGUGGUAAGCCUUACAUAUAGCUAUUCCGAUACUUGAGAACGGCUAACCGCGUACUGGGAGUGGAGAGAUGGCGAGAGUAGCGUGUACCCACCUUACGGAUCUGAGAUGACCGGGAAACAUCUAGAUUGGCUGUAGGAUGGUGGUGUACUGUACUCUCGGGUGACGCUGGACCCGUUCUUGUAUGGGAGGAUCUAUAGAAAAGGUUGACGUAUGCAAGAUUAAGUUCUACAUAUGUCGUGUGGUACUGAAUCCCCAGCUGGGUUUAAUCGAUUCGAAUCGCCGUGUUUCCUCGGAUAUGGAGCCUCAAUCCUCACACCAUCAUCGUAGUAAUAAAUGGAUCUUUGGUAAGAGAAAGAGGUGGUAUGUUUAUGAAAGUUUGAUAAUAGUUUUGGUUAGUCAUAAAUGAUGAUCUUGAGUUAAAACUUGAAAGUAGGUUUUACUCUUAGUAAGCUUUUAUGCAAAAGAAAUGCUUGAUCUUGAUAAAGCUUUACCUUGAAUCCCUAUAGCCUGCAUACCUGAGUCUUCACCUCUUUUCUAGUCGGUUAAGUCUUGUUGAGUACUUUUGUACUCAGGGUUUUAUAACCCCUGUUGCAGGUGCUGACUUAGACUGCUAAUGGAGGUCAUGUCGGUGGGCGCGACAUGAUUUAUCCACCUCUUCUACCUUAGAAGCUUCACCUAGGAUGCUUCCGCUACUAUACACACCUUUUGGAAAUUUAGUUAUUUAUAUUCCAUCAUAUGUUGUAAGUUGAGUUAUAAAUCUUCCGCACUCUGAUAUAAGUUAUUUUUGUAACAAAUGUUGUAAUGUUGUGGUAACUCCAUGUUGAUCCUGUAUGAGUUAAAAUGUGGAUGAUUCGGGGUCCUCCGAGGGCACCCGACAGACUUCUUGAGUCAUUUAGAACUCGUGCACGCCGAUCAGAAGUCUUUGAGACAAUGAUGGGUGCAUGUGGGCCAAUUAAUUCAGGAGGUUCUGCCACAGAGUGGUAUCGGAGCUCAUACAUGGAUCUUCUGCAACAUUACUUGUGAAAAACUUCAAAAGGAAUUUACAAAUUAAAAGUUUUUGAGGACAACAACUUGUAAAUGCUCCUUAACUUUUCUUAUGCUUGCUAUUCAAGUUCUGUGAAGACUGUCUGUUGACUCAAAUAGAAGGCAUUGAAAGGGACUUCAAUUCUUCUUCAACAAGCCAAGUGAAGAAUCAAACUACUCCAACAAUGCUUUGUCAAGAGUCUUGCAACAUUCCAUCCAGAGCGAUGAAGAUACUGUAUAAAUAAAGCCAUAUAAUCUACUAACAUGAUGAAGAUGGAGCACUUUUGCCGUUGAGAAAACGUAUAGGGCGAGCAUAUUGCAUACCAUGCAUAACAUGACAAUAUAAUGAUACUUAAAAACCCCUCCUUAUGCUUCAAAAACAGUUAUUAUUCAUUAUAGCUGUUUUAUUGAUGAAUCUCAUCAUGUACCAGCUUUCGUUAACCGAUUGAUAAUUUUUACUCCAUAAGAUCCUAAUACUUGAUUCUCUUGUUAUGCAUGUGACCUUCCUUGAUUUCAUCUAACUUGACACAUGCUACCUCCUUGCUGUCAUUUGAUGACAUAUGUGUUGAUUGAAUGACACUAUGAUUGUGUCCUCUUAAGGUACCAUGACUUGUAACUUGGGUAACAAUGUCGAAACCUGGGGUCUCCUAUGGCUCAUGACCAUGAGGAAAUACUGCUGGGCGCUCAUUGUUAUCAAAGUAUAUGAUCAUGAUCCCUUAUAGUCCACAAUUAGGGUGUUUCAUUCUUUGGACACUCCUUAGGGAUUCAAAUUUGUCCUUUUGAGUUCCCUAAACGCCUUGUGGUUGUGAUCGACUUUUGAUCUCAGUUACAUUCUUGGUAUUGUGAGACAUGGGUUAUUGUUGUGAUGCCCUAUAAUGGUGCCAUGUCCCGUGACCCCGGUGCCGCGUCGGAACCUAGAGUCUUUUGUGUGUCCGGAUGACACAAAUUUCUGCUGGGCGCGUGCAGGUAUCGAGGUUAUGGGCAUGAUCCAUUAUAGCCCCACAACUAAGGUGCCCUCGCUCUUUAAGCCCUAUCAUGGGAACUCAUGCCCAUAUUUUUGUGGGAAUUACCUAAAACCCUUGACUUGGAUAACCAACAUACGUUGAUUGAAAGCUAUUGUAACCGUACUCUAUAGUAGGUACCAUGAUCCGUGAUCACGUUAUAGCGUCGAAUCUUGUAGUCUCCUGUGGACUGCAGCCAUAAGGAAAUACUACAGGGUGCUCGUUAAACAUCGGGAUCUCUGGUCAUGCUCCACUAUAAUCUACAGUUAGUGUGCUUUCAUUCUCCUCGGAAGCUCAUUUGGAGAUUCAUAUCUUCUUAUGAAAUCUCUAAAAUUCCUGAUUGAUUACAACUUCUUGUUGAUCUUAGUUGUAAUUCUCGGACCAAUCGUAAUUGUUGUAUGAAUUUCUCAGAAGUUAAUGUGCUUGACACAUUUACUUUUCCAUUACUUAACCCCACGGGUUUUAGUACCCUGAAAAUCUCGGGGACGAGAUUUCUUUAAGGGGGAAGGGCUGUAACAUCCCUGAUGUUACGAACACUAAAACUGGAUCAUGUCAUCAUAAGCAUUGCAAAGCAUAUUUGUUAAGCACAUUAUUAUGCAUCAACUUAAAACAAGUUUAUUUUGAUUGCUUGUGCUUAGGGAAGUAGAGUGUACUUAUGUUGUGAAGUGAUGCUUGUGUUGGUUGUAUAACCCCUAGGGCGGAAGGUUUCCGAUAAAAUAGGGGGGAAAACCCUGAUUUUAAAACCCUGGAUUUGCCCCCUUUUUCACAAUUUAAAAACCAAACAAAAUUUGAGGUUGAGUUCAAAAGCAAAGUUGUAGAUCUUGUAAAGAUGUACAACUUUGGUGUUUUGAGUUUUUGAAGUUUCAAUACAAAAUUCAAAGUAAUUUUGAAAAUACAGAUUUCCAAAAAGUGUCCCCUUUUCCAAUUUGAAUCCCCAAUUCAAAAUCUAUUUGGAAUUUUGAAAAGUGACCAACAUGAAAGUUGUAGAGCUGAAAAAUUUGAACAACUUUCUUGUUGGAAAUUUUUCAAGUUGUUAUGCAAAAUCAAAAGUAAUUUUGGAAAUUCUGAUCUGCUCCAAUUCAAAAAUUGGAAUUUCCCCCAAAUUGAGAUUUGAAUUUCAAACUGUUUUGUCAAAUUCAUCUUGUUCCACUUAGAAUUGGCUUUGGUCACCAAAAUAAGUUUUGUAGCUUGCAAAAUUCUGAAGAACUUUUGUUUUGGUGGAAUUUUGGCUCCAGUUCAACUUUUGGGCGAAUUUCGCAAAACCACAAAAUUGGUUGGAUAGGGCUCGCUACAGUGAUCCGGAUCACGGGCUCCUCUGUCCCGCCGGCCGCAGAGCGGGCAGCGCCGCGCGCGCGCCUUGCCGCCACGCAGCUGCUUGCCGGCCGUGUCACCGCGCAACGUGGACGCCCGCGACCCCUACGCCUCGCCCCCUUGAGCGUCCGCGCGGCCGACCUCGAGCUCACUCGCUCCGGCGACCAAAAGCAUCAGAGAAGCUCCACCAUCCAUUACCCUCUACACGCAACCCCUCUGACCAAUUCGAGUUCUCCAACACCUUCGCCAUAUCCUUGCGAACCCAGUGUACGCCCAGGAACCCUCCCUGCCCCUCUCAAUCGCCCGGGCGCCGUCUUUCUUCCUCAGCUCCGGCUGAAAGCGCCGCCGUGGGCGCUUCACGUGGCCAGCCCUCCUCCGUGCUUCUCCACCACUUCUGAGCAGCUUGACGAAGUCGUGCUGAGCCCCUGAUGCUCCCCAACUCGUCCCCUCGCCUUCCCGGUGGCCGGAGCGCCACGUUUUCCCCUAGCCCCGUCCGGAGCUCCGCCAGUGCCGCUGUUCACGUGGCCAUGCCUCCACAGACCGCCUCUGGCCAAGUAGAGGGAACCAUAGGGUGUGCGUGAGUCCAGGUGAACUCCCCCGCUGCUCCACUGCUGCGGACGAGCACCCCAACGCCGAAACUGCGAUCUCCGACGAGCUCCCCUGUUUUCAGUUCGCGACCAGGGACCACGCGCAACAAUUGGAAGUUCUCCAGGGGUCUAAUUGCACAGACUGUGACUCAGGUGAAUAGUGCUAUAAGGACUUGUUUGUAGAUGUUUUGUUAGAAUCUUUGGAAAUUCAUAUCUGGAGCUUGGUAACUCCAAUUUUGGUGAACCAAAUUUCGUUGUGCUCCUUGAAAUGUCUAGUUUUUUUAAAAAUAUGGAACUGACUAUGUUUUAUAGUAAAAUAAUUAGUUAUGAAUUAUGUCUUUUAAUUAUGCUUAAAAGGAAGAAAUUCAUAUCUAUUGCUGUAUAGCUUCUUUUAAGAUGAAACUUUUAUGGUAGACUAAUGAUUAUGUGUGUGUGCUGUGGUUAAGUUUUUAGAUUCAUUGGAUGACAUAUGAUUAAGUUAUUGAUUUAUCUUGUGUAGUGCUUAUUAAAUAGUUUACAAUUAAACUAAAAAUGAAUAAAUGUAAAAUAUGGUUCCUCUACCUUUAUAUGAGGUUGUUAUAUCAUAUAGAUACAUAAUUUAGCUAUGUGUGUGUAGAAAAUGUCGAGUUUCUUAUUUAUCUUGUUGUUACAUGCUUCCUUGUGAUGGAAAUUUAUCUUUUUCAUGGAAAUUGCUAUACUUAUUCAAAUGGCAUGAAAUUUAUACAGUAGACUUUUGAGAGCAUAUAUGAGCUGCUGUAGUUUUCUCAGAAUUUACCGUGUACUUUUGAUAUAUGGUUAUUACUUUGUCUAUUUACCUAAAUAAAUUAAUAAAGACAUGAAAGGAAUUUAUUUAGGGAUGGCCAUGAUGUUUUCUAGUAUUUCUUUGAUGUAUUUCAACUGUUGGUAAGCUAGGUUUUUCCUAGGUCCAAGUUUGGAACAUAAAUGAAAUGUUAUUUGUCUAUAAUUAAAUUAUUAGUGAUUUCUGGACAGUUUCUGGAACCUUAUGAAUUGCUCUAGGUAGAUAAUGUUGGAUGUGAAACUUGUCUAUAACAAAGUUGUAUAGAAUUCAUGUAUCUAGCUGGUGUUAAAUUUUGGUGGCAUUUGGCUCUAUAGUUUCUGAGUUAUGCCUGUUUAAAUUUAAGUUUCAGAAAUGGUUGUUCUCUGUCAAAUCUUGGAUCAGUUUCUGUAGUAGUGUAAUUUCAACCUGCUAAACUUAUGAAUCAUGCUUUCAUAAUAAAAGAUGAAUUGUAGUAAUUUUCAUAAGCUUUCCAAAAUGUUAUGGAUCAUGAAUUUUGGUGAUCUAUAACUCUGGUUAUAGAUGUAUGAAGCUUAAUGUCUGGUUCUGUCCAAGGUCUGGACAGGAAUGUUUCUUCAUGCUAUUUGGCCAUCUUAUCUAUUAAAUCAGUUCUCGAAGAUAAUAACAAAGUUGUAGAAAAUUAUCUAAGCUUCCCAGAAAGUCUAAUAUCACCUUUAUUGGAUGCUUGGAUCUCUAAUUAUGGUUGAAUGAAGUUGCAUAUAUGCUGCUGUCCUGGUUAUGUGUGCAAAUAGAGUUGAUUGUUUUUAGCUAGCCUUUACUUAAAUAAUGAUUAGCUUAAUUUCCAAAUUAGAAUUUGAGUGCUUUUGGGAUUGUGUGAUGACCUGAGGUCAUUAAGGUUAAUGACCUUUGGCAUUUAAUUAUUGUUUGAUGUUAUACUUAAUUACUGCCAUUAAUAUUUAAUUAAGAAUUGAUUAAGAUAAAUAGAAAACCUAAUCAUUUUAGGUUUUGAUUGAUCUUUGGGAUUGAUUGACAACCAGUGGUUACUUGGCAUGAUAUGCUCCCUGGUUAUGGAUUAUUUCAUAAAUGAUCUUUGUUGUCUGAUAGCUACACAACCUUGUUUAAUAAAGAUGAUAAAAUUUGCUUAGUAGUAAUCUAUGUUUUGAUAGCUAAGUUAGUUUGUUUCUAUACCGUGAAGGUAAGUUGUACUCGAGGUAGUUAUGUUUGUUGUUAUCAUCCAAGAACAUGUAACCUGUCUUUAUCAUGUCAUGAGCAUCUCAUUGAUCAUGCAUAUGCACUUCUACGUGUAGACUACGCUCCAGAGGAAUCUGAUCCUCAGUGGGUUGCUUCUGAGUUUGUGGAUCCAUCUGGUUUUGCUGAGUUGUCGGACUUCCCUUCCGGCCAAGGCAAGCCCCGGACAUUAAACCCUAUCCUUGUAUUUUCAUAAAGUUAUUUAUAUCACUUGAGUUAAUAUGAUGCAUUAGGUGAAUAAGAGUUGAGUGAAUCCUACUUGCUGCAUUAUCUACCUUGAUGAUUUCAAUAUUAACCUUGAUACUUGUUUUAUGAAAAUACUUAGUAUGCUUAGCCCUGCUUAUUAGAUAAGUUUUCAAAUAAGAAAGUUUGAAGGGUUGUUGUGGAAUACUUUUAAGGUCAAUAAUGUUCAACUUGAGACCGGUCGGUGGACUUGCUUUAAGAAUGGAGUCUUAAAGUAGUGUCUCCAACUGUGUCGAUUAAGGACCGUACCGUUGUUGGCCUGUUGUGAUUGAGACCUUUGAGUACAGCCCACAUGCGGUGGUAAGCCUUACAUAUAGCUAUUCCGAUACUUGAGAACGGCUAACCGCGUACUGGGAGUGGAGAGAUGGCGAGAGUAGCGUGUACCCACCUUACGGAUCUGAGAUGACCGGGAAACAUCUAGAUUGGCUGUAGGAUGGUGGUGUACUGUACUCUCGGGUGACGCUGGACCCGUUCUUGUAUGGGAGGAUCUAUAGAAAAGGUUGACGUAUGCAAGAUUAAGUUCUACAUAUGUCGUGUGGUACUGAAUCCCCAGCUGGGUUUAAUCGAUUCGAAUCGCCGUGUUUCCUCGGAUAUGGAGCCUCAAUCCUCACACCAUCAUCGUAGUAAUAAAUGGAUCUUUGGUAAGAGAAAGAGGUGGUAUGUUUAUGAAAGUUUGAUAAUAGUUUUGGUUAGUCAUAAAUGAUGAUCUUGAGUUAAAACUUGAAAGUAGGUUUUACUCUUAGUAAGCUUUUAUGCAAAAGAAAUGCUUGAUCUUGAUAAAGCUUUACCUUGAAUCCCUAUAGCCUGCAUACCUGAGUCUUCACCUCUUUUCUAGUCGGUUAAGUCUUGUUGAGUACUUUUGUACUCAGGGUUUUAUAACCCCUGUUGCAGGUGCUGACUUAGACUGCUAAUGGAGGUCAUGUCGGUGGGCGCGACAUGAUUUAUCCACCUCUUCUACCUUAGAAGCUUCACCUAGGAUGCUUCCGCUACUAUACACACCUUUUGGAAAUUUAGUUAUUUAUAUUCCAUCAUAUGUUGUAAGUUGAGUUAUAAAUCUUCCGCACUCUGAUAUAAGUUAUUUUUGUAACAAAUGUUGUAAUGUUGUGGUAACUCCAUGUUGAUCCUGUAUGAGUUAAAAUGUGGAUGAUUCGGGGUCCUCCGAGGGCACCCGACAGACUUCUUGAGUCAUUUAGAACUCGUGCACGCCGAUCAGAAGUCUUUGAGACAAUGAUGGGUGCAUGUGGGCCAAUUAAUUCAGGAGGUUCUGCCACAACCGUGGGUGAUCCGUUUUAUUCCGAGGAACAGCAGGACCAGCAGCAGCUUCCCUUCACCGAAGGCAAGUAUAACAUGGGUUUCCCUUGUACCCCUAUUCACUUAAUUAAUUACUCAUCUGCAUGUGUCUAAUUAUGAUAACCCUAAGGACAUCCUAGCUACCUGACUAUAUGUUUAUGACACCUAUAGGUAGAUUGCAUAUGGGUAGCUUUGCUAGUGCUCUAAUUAAUUGAGACUUCACUGUCCUUCUAACUUAGUGAAUAUGAUGACAAAUGAUGGGAAAAGGGCUAUGGUGCAAUUGACUUCGGUCGGGUUGACCUAGAUCCUCCGUAAGGACUUCUCUAUAAGCGACUAUCCGAGACAUACAGUGCAACCGUGAUGGUUAUAUGGCUCUAACUUUAGCUCAGUAGUAGGAUCUCAUAUAGCUAGUUAGAGGUUAAUUGAAAGGGCGCAAGAGGGGCUUGCCACUUUGGGUAUAUAACUACUUCUGUUCCUAUGUGUAUAGCCAUGAUGGAAAUGUGCCAUAGGAAAGGGGGUCCUCUAUAACUGCCUACCGAGAAAACCUCAUGGCCCUAACCGGUUAGACGAGGCCUAUGGAAGGCUUCAUAGUGUUCCCUGCCCGCUCACCUUGGCAGUGUUAGUGGGUCUUGCAAACCCCGGGCAUAUGGGUAGCACGACUUACGGGAAAAGUGCACACCUCUGCGCAGAGUUUGAUCAAACUGGUAUACUAGCCGUGCUCUCGGACAUGAGCGGCCUUGGACCCUUAUAGAAUAGUUGGGUGUGGAUGGUUAUGGGGGGAUUGACUUAUGAAAAUAUGACACAUUUAUCAUGAUGAUUAAUGUGGUUUAACCGUGAUGGUGUUAGCCGUGAAGGUUAACGGUGUUAUUAUCAUGUACUCAUGUGGGCUAUUCAGAAGCUUAAGCAUAAUUUAUGAUUAAAUAGGAUUAAAACAUUGACCAAGUAAAAUGCUAACUGCAGUAGCCAGUGUCUGACCUUUUUGAGCCUCAUAAAAUCCUGUGUUAUGCUUGCGGAGUACGAGAUGUACUCACGCUUGUUUCUAUAUUCUUUUUGGACAAAAAUCCCAGAUAGGUAACAGAUGACAGCUUCUAUGAGGAAUUCCCGGAGGACUUCUAGGUUGGCGAGCCACCAGUUGGUCGUCCCUGUGCUGGAGCUACCAAGUUAUAUCUAGAUAUGAGUUUUAUUUCCGCUUGUUGCCAGACUUUGAUGUUCAUGGUUGUAAAUAUCGUUAUGUAAGACACUUGGGAUGAUACUUCUGUAAUUUGUCGACUUGUGUGCGUGACUAUUCCUGGGGCGCACAUGAGGUUUAUUGUACUCAAAUUUAUCUUUAAAUUUGGGUGUGACAAAUUGGUAUCAAAGCAAGGCUGACUGUAUGACACAAAUCUAUGUAGAAACGGUCGAUUUUAGGAUUUUCUUUUGCUUUAUUUACUUCACUGCUUACUACACCUUCUUGUUAUUUUAUAAAAAUUUUAUAUUCUUAUCCAUUGUUCUAUUUAUGUAAACAUAUUGAUUCUAAUUUUUAAAAUAAAAUUUAUAGAUGCCUCGUCGCAGCGCAGCCGUGUACCGUGCACUCUUCACCGUCGCUCGUGCUCCGCCGGUUGCACCUGUACCUGCACCUACACCUGCACCUAUACCUGAGCCUGAGGUCGUCGCCUCUACUGGCGGUGAGGAGGAGGAGCCCAUGGACCUGGGGUCUCCUACGCCUACACCUUCAGCACCUACCCCGGUGGCGGUACCAAUCCCGCAGGUCGACACUCCAGUUCCGCCUGCUCCACCUGCGCUUGCACCGCACGCGUCUACGGGUUCAGCACCGACACCUCAGUGCCCACAGGUUGUCCUAGAGAUGGGAUGGACCUCCAGGAACAAGUUCAUGGAUGCUGACGAGGACGCUCACUACCACACUCUGCUCACGGGUGUGUUGGCGAGCUACUACCCAGAGUUUGCUGCCACCGUUCGCUACCUCUGCUUGGAGCAUAAGCAUCCACUGGAGAAUACUUACUGGAAGGCCGAGGUGAUCAUCACAGCUCGGAACAAUGUCGACUACUCGGAUGAGGUGGAGUCCAUCCAUGAGAGCAAGGUUAGGCGUGCUUCUGCCUAUGAGAGCAUGGAGAAUGCAGCCCAAGCUGCGUACUUUCACUACCAUGGCCGCCGUUUUGAGGCCAUGUAAGAAGAUAGGUACCGGUUUCUUCCCCGCAAUGACCCAGAUGGCAGGACAUGGCAUGUCCUGGCACCUCCUGCCGGUGACCCUACUUUGGACAUGACAGUGAGGCACGUUAGUGCCAUUCAUGAGAUGAAUGUGGCACUUAGGCAGGAGCUGCAUGUUUCACAGCAGGCGGGGAAGCGCCUCCAGCAGCAGGUGGAUGAGCUGUGUGGUCAGCUUGGACAGCCACCCAUCUACAAGAAGAAGCCCCACAAGUUCGUUUUGCAGGAUAGAGCUCCCUAGAUGUCCCGGUACUUAUUAUUUAGACGUUAGAACGAGUGGUUUGGUUAUGUGUGGCAUGUGAUCAUUCAGUGUAUUGCUGUUUGUGAUGAUGAACAUUUGUGAUUUGGAAUUUUUGUUUGAUUUUGGGAACAUGUGGGCCUGUCUGCAUGUUUGUAAAGUCUAAUCUUAGUAGUAAAUGUUGAUUAAUGUGAGGUUGGGUUACUUUAUCAUUGUCUCAGUCAUGCUGAUUCUGGAGCAGUCUGUGAUGUUUAUUCUGUAUCUCAUAAAUGGUUCAGUCAAGAAUUACGAAAUUUUUAUGGGGAAAACUAGACUGACAUAUCUUUCAACUCCAACUGGAAUCACCUUAUUAUCUGUUCGAGUUUGUGAGAUAUGCCCGAUUUAAUCAGCUGUACUGCGUAGACAGAGAACCAGAGCAGAACCCGAUUAACUACAGUUUUGAUUAUGCUACUGUUGGAAUCAGUAAAUGACGUCUGAAUACAAUUUGUAGAGAAUUUCCUAACCUUUCCAACGAUGUAUACCAUGUUCCUAUUAGAUCCAUAGAGUCUGAGAUAAGCAUGAAUUACUGACCUGCUGAGUUUGAAACUGAUCCAGAAAACUGCUUGUCUUAUUUUUAUUCAUUAUAAGCGAUGAAUAAUUAUUUUGGAAGAUUUCUAAAAGCCGUGAAUCUUUGUUGGGAGUAGAUGGAUGCCGAAGGAGCGGGCGCUGGUCGUGGACGAGGCCGUGGCCGCGGUCGUGGCUGUGGACGUGGUGCACCUGAGAAUCCGCAACCACCACCGCCACCGAUGACUAUUGAGCAACUCAUGGGGAUGCAAGCCAAUCUGAUACAAGCUAUGAUGAACCGCAUGAACAAUGAACCUGUAGCAGCACCACCGCCGGUUCAAGUCCGCGACAAGCGUGGGGAGUUCUUGAAAGGACGUCCCCUGGUGUUCACCCAUGCCUCUGAUCCACUGGAGGCAGACGACUGGUUAAAAGCAGUCGAGAAGCAGUUGAACAUAGCCCAGUGCAGCGACCUGGAGAAAGUGAUGUAUGCCUCGGGCCAGCUGCAAGGACCUGCUCAGGAGUGGUGGGAGUCUUAUCAAUAUGGACGCCCGAACAAUGCUCCACCAGCUACCUGGAAGGAGUUUACUGAGGGGUUCAGGUCCCAUCAUAUUCCAGAGGGUCUGAUAGAACUGAAGGCAGAAGAUUUCCGGUCUCUCAAGCAGGGACCGAUGACAGUUAGUGAGUAUCGUGACAAGUUUGCACAAUUGUCACGAUAUGCUCCAUAUGAGGUGGCUAGGGACUCUGACAAGCAGCGCCUUUUCCUGAAGGGUUUAUAUGAUGGACUGCAGCUGCAGCUGAUGAGUAACACCUAUCCUUGUUUACAAGAAUUGGUGAACCGUGCUAUUGUCAUCGACAACAAGCGCAAGGAGAUGGACGCAAAGAAGAGGAAGCUCCAAGGGUAGCCACCGGGCAGCAACACUCGCCCACAUGCAUACCCUCAGCAGGGAUUCCCUCAGCCAAUUAGGGGCCACCGAAUCAGUGGAACCGUUGUCAGGUCCCUCAGCGCCCUCAGUACCACCAACAGUACAGCCACCAGAACCAACAACGUCUCCAGCAGCAGUAUGGCAAUCAGAGUCAGCAACGCCCCCAGCAACAGGUCAGCAACCAGUUGUUGACGGUCCUUAUAUACCAAAUUUAAUUAUCAAAUAAAUAAAGAAAAGGAUCCAAAUGCAACCAACACCCAAACUUAGGGUUUUAUCUGACAGAAUUCUAUGAGUUUUGGUGUUUGUCUAUUUCUGCAGAUGGUUAUCAGGAAAUAUGGAGGAAAGGCCCAUACGUCGGGUUUACAUAGGGAUAUUAACGUGUGUGGCAAUUUUCUAUCAUCUAGAAGACUCCAGAAGCCAUGGAAACGAACGGGAGGCCGAGCGGGCCCAGGGGCAGGGCGCCCGCCCUCCCCCCUAGGGCGCCCGCCCUGGCUCAGUAGCCAAUCAGGCUGAGUCUUGCGGAUUAUGCUCCACCGCCUUUGAGGAUCAAGAAAAACCGUGCGACUAAGGUCGGUUUGAUCCGACGGCCCACGUUCAUUUGGAAGGGCUAUAUAAGCAGGCCCCCUAGCCCCUGGAGAAGACACCUCUGAAUCCCCAUUCAUUAUUCAUAGACAGAGCAAAAGCUAGGGUUUGGAGAUAAGAGCUCUCCUCUCAUCUCUAAACUAGAGUAGAUCUAGAUAGUAGCGAGAUGGAGAGCGAGGGAGGAUUGGAGGAGAGGCCAGCCUGUCGGUUCUUCCUCCGGUUGUACUUCACCAUGAUCAAGCUCUAAUCAAGCUUGCUCAUGGGAUGACUCUGGUAAUCUACUUCUAUUUCAUUAUGCAAUUACUAUCCAUGUAUGUUCUCGUUCAUAACUCUUUUGAGUACUUCAAUUUAUAGGACGCUAUAGGUUAGAGUUGUAGUAUAGGUGUAAGCGUGGUGCUUAGCCCAAGAUUACUUGUGGAUAUCCCAUGUUAGCCGGAUCGCGUGGUAGGCCGCGUAGGUGACAGCUACGUAGUCCUCUGUAGUCCACCUCCUGUUAGCAAGACUGGUAGGUGUCCUCGACCUUAGGUAUAAGCAUCCUUUGUGUUGUUUUAUACUUAUGGUACGCCAUAGACAGACAUACCCCUUUGAAGUAGAGAAUCCCUAGUUAUCCUCUCUAUUCUCCUAUUAUCGCCCAUAUAUUAGAUUGCUCUACUCUAUAUUCCCCCAUUAUCAUUUUACCUUUAAUAUUGUUCUUAUUCAAUUCUAUCACAUUUCCAAUUUACACCCACCUGUCUGUCUUGGUUAAGUUAGAGCGUAGUUGGUUCUCCCGUUUCCCUGUGGAUACGAUAAAACCUUUAACCGGGUAAAAGCUAUAACGGUAUCCGUGUGCUUGCGGAUUUAUCUAUGUGCGUAUAGAUACCAUAGUAACUCUAGUGCCAUGCUGGGAUGACAACCUAGUAUUCAAGUGGUGUUAGCAAGUGUCAACAAGCUUUUUGGCGCCGUUGCCGGGGAAACGGUUGCUGAGUUGACUACGAACUAGCUUAAUCAUUUUUUCUAAAAAUAAUAAAAAUAAUAAUAAAAUAAUAUAUUUUUCCUUUUAUCCUUUGCCUCAUCUCUGCUAUUCUUUCUUCUUAUCUAAUCUUUGAUCUCUGGUCUAUCAUGAAUGCAAACAAGUCUAUCUAUCAGUUUAGUAGACCUACAGACACACAUCUUGAACCACCAAAAUUUUCAAAGCCUAUCAUGACAUCUAUUUUUGAGAUAAGCCCGGAAUACAUAGAAUUUGUUCAAAAAUAACCUUUCUCAGGAGAAGGUGAGGAAAACCCAUACACAUACCUAAAAGAGUUUUAUCAAGUCUGUGACCUCCUUCGCAUUGAAGGCAUAUCCGAUGAGACCCUUAAAUGGAAGCUCUUUCCGUUCUCUUUAACGGGAAAAGCUAGACAUUGGUAUAAACUCAACAUAGGAAGUGCUCAAGGAGAUUGGAAGGAGCUAUACAAUAGUUUUCUUUUUAAAUAUUUUCCGAUCUCCAAAGUGGCAAAUCUUCGAAUCAAGAUUCUUUCUUUUAGACAACUAGAAGAAGAAUCUCUUGGCGAAUCAUGGGACCACUUUAUUGACCUUACUCUCACUGGCCCAAAUCUUUCUAUUCUAGAAGAAGUUCUUCUAAUUCACUUUUUUAAGGGCCUUAGUAGGGAAAAUAAGCAAACCCUUAAUGCGGCCUCUGGAAGAUCCUUCCACCACCUGUCCGCUAGUGAAGCUUGGAAUUUGAUUGAUUUAAUGAGCGGAAAGUCUCCUAGCAUUUAUAUCCCUGAGAAAGAGAAAGAAUCAGUUCCUAGACAAGAAGAGGAAGUUUCGAUAGCCAAAUUACAACCACUUCAAUCCCAAACUUUAGCUAUCGAUCCUAAAUCAUCAAUACCCCAAAAUUCUCCAAGGGAGGAAGAAAUUCCGACCUUAAAUCUUUUAGAUGCUGAUGGUUUAGACUUUUGGUUCCAUAAGAGACCUUCAAGCAGGGAUAAUUCAAAUCCUUGCAAUAAUGGUUCUCUUAGAGAAUGUCCUGGUUCCUGUUAUGAAGAAGACGAGGAUGACAUAUCAAGUGAAUGAGAGCUAAACCAUAUAGAACAUUCUAUCUGUUCCCCUUCCAUGUUCACAAAUUCUAAAUCCAUCCUUGACCUUAGAGACCCCUCUUAUCCCUCUCCUUUUCAGUCUCAUGAUGAUCCUAGCAAUCCAUCAAGAUGAUCAAACCAUAGGAGCCAUAAAGACCAUGAGGAUGACAUGUCAAGUAAUGUCAUAGAAGGAGAGCUAAGCCAUAUAGAAAAUUCUAACACCUCCUGAAAGAUCCUAAUAUGGCUAGAGGGGGGUGAAUAGCCUAUUUAAAAAUUCUACAAACUCACUAGAGCAAAAGGUUAGUAAAUAACAAAGUGAAGCUUUUUGCUCUAGCUCUAAAGGGGUGUUUGCAAGCCACCUACCCAACAAUUCUAGUUGCUAAGAUCUCUAUGCACACAAGAACUAAGUCUCUACAAGUUACACUAGAGAACUAAGCUACACAAGUCAAAGUAAGCAACUAAACUAGUUACACUAGUUUGCGGUAAAUAAAGAUAAGAUGAGAUAUUUAUACCGCCGUGUAGGGGAUGAACCAAUCACCAAUAUAAACAAUCAAGCACCGGGAGAAUGCCAAUCAAACACAAUUGAGACACCGAUUUUUCUCCCGAGGUUCACGUGCUUGCCGGCACGCUACGUCCCCGUUGUGUCGACCAACACUUGGUGGUUCGGUGGCUAAGAGGUGUAGCACGAACCUCGUCCUCACUAGGACACCACAAGAACCCACCCACAAGUGAGGUAACUCAAUGACACGAGCAAUCCACUAGAGUUAUCUUUCGGCUCUCCGCCGGGGAAGGUACAAGACCCCUCACAAUCACCGGGAGAUGGCCACGAACAAUCACCAACUCGUGCCAAUCCUCCUCCGCUGCUCCAAGCCGUCUAGGUGGCGGCAACCACCAAGAGUAACAAGAAAACCGCAGCUAGAACGAUCCCCAAGUGCCACUAGAUGCAAUCACUCAAGCAAAUGCACUUGGAAUCACUCCCAAUCUCACAAAGAUGUUUAAUCUAUAAAGGAGAUGAGUGGGAGGUGUUUGCUUAGGCUCACAAGGAUGUCAAGUAUACUAGAAUGCCAAGGGAGUGAGCCCCAAGCCGGCCAAACACGUAUUUAUAGCCCCUCAAACAAAUAGAGCCGUUGGCUCUUUCACUGGGCGAAAAACGGGGUCACUGGACGCUCUUAAAGGGGCACCGGACGCUCAGCCCUUGCGUCCGGUGCUCCAACGUCAGCCACGUGUCAGAGUCUAACGGUCACCUGCAGUGCACCGGACGCUGAGCAAGUUAGCACCGGACGCGUCCGGUGCACACUGGACUCAUGCGCAGAGAGUUCCGCAAACCUGCGGGUCACCGGACACUAGCCACCGGACGCACCCUGAGCGUCCGGUGCUCACCGGACUCGUGCGCAGAGAGGGUCGCCAAGACGCCCGCACACCGGACGCGCACCACCGGACGCUCAAGCCAGCGUCCGGUGCCUAUCAUCCGGUGCCUUACCCUAGCUGGGCCAAGCACUGUCUGCACCGGACGCUCAGACGCAGCGUCCGGUGCUCCAGAAGCCAGCGUCCGGUGAGUGUUUUCUCAGCGAGAAACACUCCCGCGACUACUCCAAAUUUCCCUCCGGCGCAAUAGAAAAUAUGCACUUCAUUUUCUCGAAAAGCGCCGAACCCAUCCUCUCUCUACCCUUCAAACUUCAACUCCCUUCUCAAAGUGUGCCAACACCAUAAAGUGUGUACCAACAAGUGCACGUGUGUUAGCAUUUUCACAAUUAUUUUUCUUCGAAGGAGUUAAGUUAGCUCACUGGGUUCUAAAUGCAUGCACAUGAACAAUGACACCUAGUGGCACUUGAUAACCGUUUAGCCAAAGAAUUCCCCUCUUUAUAGUACGCCUAUCUAUCCUAAAUGUGAUCACACCCUCUAUGGUGUCUUGAUCACCAAAACCAAAACCCUAAGCAAUACCUUUGCCUUGAUCUCCAUAGGAUUUUAUUUUUCUCUUUCUUCUUUUCCAAGUUGAGCACUUGAUCACCUUGUGGUCAUCACCAUCAUCACCAUGAUCAUCACUUGCUCCAUCACUUGGCAUGUACCAACCUCAUUAAGUCUACACACACUUAGCAUAGAGGUUAGUACUAGGGUUUCAUCAAUUAUCCAAAACCAAACUAGGGCUUUCAAUCUCCCCUUUUUGGUAAUUGAUGACAACCCUUUUUACAAAGAUUUUCAAUAAAAAUUUCUUGGAUUCAUGUUGCUUGCCCAAGCAUUUUACCAUGUGCAAAGAUUAUGGACAAGUUUCAUAAACCCAAAUUGGUAGCAAUUGCUCCCCCUACAUAUGUGCUAAGAGUUUGGAUUUGAAAGCUUGCACAUAUGCUUGUAUAGGAAAUAUAGGAGUCAAUUUCUACCAAAUAAUGCUAAGGUGUAGAAAAUGGACCUUUGAAGCGUGAAACCAAUCGGAGUUGCCAAUAUACACCAUCCUUAGCACCAUGAGUAACUAGACAUUCACAAAACUAGAACACCCCGUGAGAUCAACAUUAAAAACAAGGUUCUAGUACCACUUGUGAAAUAACUAAAAGUCUAGUUACACUACCUAUGCAUGCUAGUUCUUCAUUUCAUCAAUCAAACUUACAACUAGCAUACACCACACAAGCAAGGCAUUUGAGAGAGAGCUUCUAAAGCUAAUGCAAAUGCAAGCAACCAUAUGUGAUGCACAUACAAAUGCAACAUACAAGUUUAUGAGCUUGCUCCCCCUACUUGUGUGCUUUAAACUUUUAAUUGAUCCCCUUCUUUUAUCAUGUUACUCCCCUAUCUUAAAUCUUUGGGAAAUUCUCUCCCCCUUUGUCAUCAAAGACCACAAAAGGUGAGAUCAAAUUUUAGAUAUGUUAGUGUGAAACCAUGUGAAGUGAGAUCAUUUUCCCAAAAUUGGUCCAAUCUAGAUUACUUGCCUAAGAUAUUUAACUCGGUUUGAUCCAAGGACAAGCUUCUUCACACCUCCAAAUAAGGGUUAUCUUGUACCAUGUUGAGUUAAACACUUAUAGCUCAUAUUCUAGAUCAAACACUAGGAUUGCAAGCCCACAAACAUGUCAUAUGCUACCACUAGAUCAAGUAAAGCAUAAAAGCAAUAGUGGUACCAUACAAGCAUCAAAUUCAUUUGAUUUUCAUGAAUGAUCCUAAGAUAUGUAAGGAAUGACUAGAUGCACUAAACAAGUCCUUAGCAUAGGAUGAAUGACAUGUCAAUCAAUUUUACCUUGCUUUGCUCGAAGGAGAGGCAAGUCAUAUAGUGGGGGUGCAUCAACACGUAUUUGAGAAGUCAAGUAUGUUCAAUUCAUUCCUUAGCUUGCAAAACCUCUUCUCAUCAAGUGGCUUGGUGAAUAUAUCGGCAAGUUGAUCAUCGGUGCCUAUACUCUCAAUGCAAAUGUCCCCUUUUUGUUGGUGAUCUCUUAUAAAGUGAUGGCGGACAUCUAUGUGCUUUGUUCUUGAGUGUUGAAUCGGAUUGUUGGUGAGCUUUACGGCACUUUCAUUGUCACAUAGCAAUGGCACUUCUUUGAAAUUGAUUCCAAAGUCCUUCAAUGUUGCCUUCAUCCAUAGGAUUUGUGCACAACAACUACCGGCCGCAAUAUAUUCCGCUUCGGCGGUUGAUAGUGCAACACUAUUUUGCUUCUUGGAUGACCAUGAGACAAGUGAUCUUCCCAAUAGUUGACAUGUGCCCGAUGUGCUUCUUCUCUCAACUUUGCAUCCCGCAUAGUCCGAGUCGGAAUAUCCAACAAGUUCAAACUUUGCACCUUUGGGAUACCACAAACCAACAUUUUGUGUAUGUUUCAAGUACCUCAAUAUUCUCUUUGUUGCUUUUAAAUGACUUUCUCUUGGUGAGGCUUGGAAUCUUGCACACAUGCAUACACUAAACAUGACAUCCGGUCUUGAUGCGGUCACAUAGAGUAGGCUUCCAAUCAUAGACCGAUACAUCUUUUGAUCCACCAUGUUUCCACUUGUAUCACUAUUUAGGCUUCCAUUUGUUCCCAUUGGAGUGCUAAUUGCCUUUGCAUCAUCCAUACCAAACUUCUUGAGCAUGUCUUUUAUGUACUUGCCUUGACUCACAAAUGUGCCAUUCUUCAAUUGCUUGAUUUGAAGACCAAGGAAGUAACUAAGCUCUCCAAUCAUUGACAUCUCAAACUCAUUAGCCAUCAUAUUUCCAAACUCUUCACAAAAUUCUUAGUUGGUUGAUCCAAAUAUGAUAUCAUCAACAUAUAUUUGCAACACAAACAAGUCUUUGCCAAUCUUUUUGGUGAAGAGAGUGGUGUCAACCUUGCCCAUCUUGAAACCUUUAGAGAGUAAGAAAUCUCUCAAUCUCUCAUACCAUGCUCUUGGUGCUUGCUUCAAACCAUACAAUGCCUUUCUUAGCUUGUAAACAUGGUUGGGUUUCUUGUCAUCCUCAAAACCGGGAGGUUGCUCAACAUAGACUUCUUCAUUGAUAUAGCCAUUGAGAAAUGCACUUUUCACAUCCAUUUGAUAUAACUUGAUGUUAUGUGCACAAGCAUAGGCCAACAAGAUCCUAAUUGCUUCCAAUCUUGCAACUGGGGCAUAUGUUUCACCAAAGUCAAGACCUUCAACUUGAGUAUAGCCUUGUGCUACCAAUCUUGCUUUGUUCCUUACAACUAUCCCAUCUUGAUCUUGCUUGUUGCGAAAGACCCAUCUAGUACCAAUGACAUUAUGAUCACUAGGCCUCUCAACUAAUUCCCAUACUUGAUUUCUCUUGAAAUUGUUAAGCUCUUCAUGCAUAGCAUUAACCCAAUCAACAUCUCUCAAUGCUUCAUCAAUCUUCUUUGGCUCAAUGUGAGACACAAAGGAGAAAUGCUCACAAAAUGAUGCUAAUCUUGAUCUAGUUUGCACUCCUCUUUGAAUAUCACCAAUGAUAUGAUCCAAUGGAUGAUCUCUUGCAAUAUUUGUUGGUUGAAGUAUUUGCACUUGAUUGCUUGCACUUGGUUGAUCAUAAGAUGAUGUACUAGUUUGUUGAUCUUGCACUUGAGUACCACUUGUACUAGCUUGAUUUUGAUCAUGAGAACCACUAACUUGCACAUUAGAGGUAGGAAGCACUUGAUCUUUGUCAUCUUCAACAUCAAUCACUUCUCUAGGCCUCAAAUCACCAAUGUCCAUAUUCUUUAUUGCAUCGGCCAAUUGAGUGCCUCUCACAUCAUCUAGAUGAUCUUCUUCCUCUUGAGAGCCAUUUGUUUCAUCAAACUCAACAUCAUGCACCUCUUCAAGAGUACCACUAGCCAAAUUCCAAACUCUAUAAGCUUUGCUAGUAGUUGAGUAACCAAGCAAGAAUCCUUCAUCACAUUUCUUUUCAAAUUUACUCAAUCUAGUGCCUUUCUUCAAUAUGUAGCAUUUGCAACCAAAAACCCGAAAGUAUGCAAUGUUGGGCUUUCUUCCAUUCAAGAGCUCAUAUGGAGUCUUCUCCAUCAUUGGGUGACAAUAAAGUCGGUUGCUAUAGUAGCAAGCCGUGUUGAUUGCUUCGGCCCAAAAAGAAUGACUAACAUUGUAUUCACUCAACAUUGAUCUUGCCAUGUCAAUCAAGGUUCUAUUCUUCCUCUCAACAAGACCAUUUGAUUGUGGAGUGUACUUGGCCGAGAAUUGAUGCCUAAUGCCAAAUUCAUCACAAAGCUCAUCAACUCUUGUAUUCUUGAAUUCACUUCCAUUGUCACUUCUCACUUUCUUGAUGGUUGUUUCAAACUCAUUGUGUAUUCUCUUGACAAAUGAUUUGAAAGUUGCAAAAGCAUCACUCUUGUCACUAAGAAAGAAUACCCAUGUGUAUCUUGUGAAAUCAUCCACUAUCACAAAUCCAUAUUUGUUUCCACCAAUGCUUGUGUAUGUGGUUGGUCCAAAUAAGUCCAUAUGCAACAACUCAAAUGCCUUGCAUGUACUCAUGAUGCUCUUCUUUGGAUGAGUGUUGCCAACUUGCUUUCCGGCUUGACAUGCACUACAAAGCUUGUCUUUCUCAAAUGUGACAUCUUUCAAGCCUCUAACAAGAUCAUGUUUGACUAACUUGUUUAAUUGUUUCAUUCCAACAUGACCAAGCCUUCUAUGCCAUAACCAACCCAUGCUAGAUUUGGUGAGCAAGCAUGUUGACAAUUGAGCUUCACUAGCAUUGAAAUCAACCAAGUUUAGAUUCUCAUAUCUAAAGCCUUUGAAUAUCAAGUUUGAGCCAUCUACACUUAUGAUCUCUACAUCAUCAACUCCAAAUAUACAUUUGAAACCAAGAUCACAAAGUUGAGCUAUGGAUAGCAAGUUGAAGUUCAAGCUCUCUACUAGUAGCACAUUGGAAAUGCUCAAGUCAUUGGAUAUAGCAAUUUUACCAAGCCCUUUUACCUUGCCUUUGCCAUUGUCACCAAAUGUGAUACUAUCAACACCAUUGUCAUCAUUUGUUGUCAUCAUUUGGAUUGAUUGAAUUGAACAUUCUUGCAUCACCGGUCAUGUGUUGUGUGCACCCACUAUCAAGCACCCAAUGCCUUCCUCCGGCUUUAUAGUUUACCUACAAAACAAAUCAAUGUUUCUUAGGUACCCAUACUUGUUUGGGUCCUUGGAGGUUAGUGGCUAAGCUUUUUGGUACCCAAAUGGCCUUCUUCUUUGGACCCACAAUUGGUGUACCAACAAACUUAGCAUGCACACCCUUCUCACCCUUGGUAAGCACAUAACAAGAAUCAAAAGGAAUGUAAGGUACAUUAGCAAUUUUCUUGUUCUUGUUCAUUUUAUUGCAAUUAAGCUCUAGGUGCCCAACUUGCUUGCAUUUGUUGCAAUACCGACCAUUGCUCUUCACAAAGCUAGGCUUGUGAGUUGCAAAGGCUUUCUUGCCUUUCUUGGGGGUAUAGCCUAAUCCCUCUUUGUUGAGAGAAAACCUUUGGCUACCCAAGCACUUUAGCAAGCGGGCCUCACCACCAUAGGCCUUGCCUAGGGCGUGAGUGAGCUCAUCCACCUCUCUCUUGAGAGUCUCAUUCUCAACCUUUAGUGAAGCAUCACAAGUGACACUAACACUAGAAGUAGAGGUAGAGUUGGUGGUGGUGGAUGAAGACUUACACGAAGAGUUAGUGGCAACAACAAUAGGUGGGUUGGGUGAUUCCUUAAUUAAGUCACAUGUUGUGCCCACAUCACAUGAUAUAACAACCUUUUCCUUGUUCUCUUCUAACAACAAGGAGUGAGCUUUCUCAAGCUUGGUGUGAGCCUUGCCAAGCUUCUCAUGGGCUUCCACUAGCCUCUCAUGAUUAGCAUUGAGCUCAUCAAAGGAUUGCUCAAGAGCUUUUAACUUCUUGGCCAAUUCUUUGCACUUCUUGUUUUUAGAUUGAAUGAGAGAAUCGGCUUGUUCUAGCAUGUCCAUGAGUUGUUCAUUAGUGAAUUCAUUUUCAUCAUCACUAUCACUAUCAUGUUCAUGUUCACUUUCACUUUCACUCUUAUCAUAUUGUACCUUGUGGCCCUUAGCCAUGAAGCAUGAAGGAGUGUCGAAGAGUGAUGGCUUGUUGAUAGCAAUGCUUGCAAGCGCCUUCUUCUUGGAUGCCUUGUCAUCAUCACUAGAAUCAUCAUCCGAAGAAGCAUCACUAUCCCAUGUCACAACAUAGGAUCCACCCUUCUUCUUCUUCUUGAAGACCAUCUUCUUCUCUUUUUUUUCUUUCUUCUCCUUCUUGUUUUUCUUAUCAUGCUCAUCAUUGUUACUAUUGUAAGGACAAUCCGCCACAAUAUGAUCGGGGCUCUUGCACUUAUAGCAUAGCCUCACAUGCUCUUUGUUCUUGGAGUUGUCCCUUCUCUUUCUUGUAUGGUAGCCCUUCUUCUUCAUCAUCUUGCCAAACUUGCGGACAAAGAGUGCUAGUGCUUCAUCAUCACUAUCAUCAUUGGAGCACUCCUCGUCACUUGAUUCUUCUUUCUUGGCCUUGCCCUUGUUUUUGCUCUUGGAUGAAGAGCUAGCUUUGAAUGCUACACUCUUCUUCUUCUUGUCAUCAUCAUCCUUCUUCAUGACCUCAUCAUCAUCAUUGUCAUUGUAUUGAUCUUCGGUCAUGACAUCUCCAAGUACCUCAUUGGGAGAUACACCGGUCAAUCCUCCUCUAAAGAUGAUUGUUCUCAAUGUCUUGAACCUCUUGGGCAAGCACAUCAAGAACUUGUGAAUGAAAUCCUCAUCCUUCACUUUCUCACCAAGGCCCUUGAGAUCAUUGAUGAUGACUUGGAGCCUAUAGAACAUCUCCGGUAUAGACUCAUCAUCCUUCAUCUUGAAGUUGGAUAGCUUGUCCUUGAGCAUAUACAAUUUGGCACUUUUUACCGUUGUAGUGCCCUCAUAUGUUUCUUCUAGUCUUGUCCACACAUCACUUGUCUUCUCAAGAUCUUUGACUUGUUCAAACACCUUUGAAUCAAUGCCAUUAUAAAUUGUGUUGAGAGCCAUGGUGUUACAUUGCUUGUUUGCUCUCUCAUUGUCGGUGGGGUUGGCGGGGUCAAGGAUCACAAAGUCAUUCUCCGUGACUUCCCACACUCUAUCAUUGAUUGAUCCAAGGUACAUCUUCAUUUUUCUCUUCCAAUAGUCAAAGGAACUUGUGCCAUCGAAGAACGGUGGUUUGCCCCCAACAUGGUUCAACACUAUUUGAGCCAUAAUUUGAGCACCGAGGUUGUUAAGCCUUCACAAACGGUGACCACGGCUCCGAUACCACUUGAAAGAUCCUAAUAUGGCUAGAGGGGGGUGAAUAGCCUAUUUAAAAAAUCUACAAACUCACUAGAGCAAAAGGUUAGUAAAUAACAAAGCGAAGCUUUUUGCUCUAGCUCUAAAGGGGUGUUUGCAAGCCACCUACCCAACAAUUCUAGUUGCUAAGAUCUCUAUGCACACAAGAACUAAGUCUCUACAAGUUACACUAGAGAACUAAGCUACACAAGUCAAAGUAAGCAACUAAACUAGUUACACUAGUUUGCGGUAAAUAAAGAUAAGAUGAGAUAUUUAUACCGCCGUGUAGGGGAUGAACCAAUCACCAAUAUAAACAAUCAAGCACCGGGAGAAUGCCAAUCAAACACAAUUGAGACACCGAUUUUUCUCCCGAGGUUCACGUGCUUGCCGGCACGCUACGUCCCCGUUGUGUCGACCAACACUUGGUGGUUCGGUGGCUAAGAGGUGUAGCACGAACCUCGUCCUCACUAGGACACCACAAGAACCCACCCACAAGUGAGGUAACUCAAUGACACGAGCAAUCCACUAGAGUUAUCUUUCGGCUCUCCGCCGGGGAAGGUACAAGACCCCUCACAAUCACCGGGAGAUGGCCACGAACAAUCACCAACUCGUGCCAAUCCUCCUCCGCUGCUCCAAGCCGUCUAGGUGGCGGCAACCACCAAGAGUAACAAGAAAACCGCAGCUAGAACGAUCCCCAAGUGCCACUAGAUGCAAUCACUCAAGCAAAUGCACUUGGAAUCACUCCCAAUCUCACAAAGAUGUUUAAUCUAUAAAGGAGAUGAGUGGGAGGUGUUUGCUUAGGCUCACAAGGAUGUCAAGUAUACUAGAAUGCCAAGGGAGUGAGCCCCAAGCCGGCCAAACACGUAUUUAUAGCCCCUCAAACAAAUAGAGCCGUUGGCUCUUUCACUGGGCGAAAAACGGGGUCACCGGACGCUCUUAAAGGGGCACCGGACGCUCAGCCCUUGCGUCCGGUGCUCCAACGUCAGCCGCGUGUCAGAGUCUAACGGUCACCUGCAGUGCACCGGACGCUGAGCAAGUUAGCACCGGACGCGUCCGGUUCACACCGGACUCAUGCGUAGAGAGUUCCGCAAACCUGCAGGUCACCGGACACUAGCCACCGGACGCACCCUGAGCGUCCGGUGCUCACCGGACUCGUGCGCAGAGAGGGUCGCCAAGACGCCCGCACACCGGACGCGCACCACCGGACGCUCAAGCCAGCGUCCGGUGCCUAUCGUCUGGUGCCUUACCCUAGCUGGGCCAAGCACUGUCUGCACCGGACGCUCAGACGCAGCGUCCGGUGCUCCAGAAGCCAGCGUCCGGUGAGUGUUUUCUCAGCGAGAAACACUCCCGCGACUACUCCAAAUUUCCCUCCGGCGCAAUAGAAAAUAUGCACUUCAUUUUCUCGAAAAGCGCCGAACCCAUCCUCUCUCUACCCUUCAAACUUCAACUCCCUUCUCAAAGUGUGCCAACACCACAAAGUGUGUACCAACAAGUACACGUGUGUUAGCAUUUUCACAAUUAUUUUUCUUCGAAGGAGUUAAGUUAGCUCACUGGGUUCUAAAUGCAUGCACAUGAGCAAUGACACCUAGUGGCACUUGAUAACCGUUUAGCCAAAGAAUUCCCCUCUUUAUAGUACGGCUAUCUAUCCUAAAUGUGAUCACACCCUCUAUGGUGUCUUGAUCACCAAAACCAAAACCCUAAGCAAUACAUUUGCCUUGAUCUCCAUAGGGUUUUGUUUUUCUCUUUCUUCUUUUCCAAGUUGAGCACUUGAUCACCUUGUGGUCAUCACCAUCAUCACCAUGAUCAUCACUUGCUCCAAGUCUACACACACUUAGCAUAGAGGUUAGUACUAGGGUUUCAUCAAUUAUCCAAAACCAAACUAGGGCUUUCACCUCCCCUUUCCUGAUCACAAGUUCUAAAUGGCUAGAAUGUGUAGAAUGGAUGGACAAGGAAGAAGCCUUAAUGGAUUCUGACCUUGGCUCAAUUUCAAAUGGUGAGUUCUUGACUCCCUUUGAAGAUGAGAUUGAUCCAACUAUAGAAGAGGACAUAGGUGAGACCAAUCCUGGAGAAACUCCGAACAUUCAGAUUGGAGACGAAGAUAACAUUAAUGAGCAUGGAAUUUAUUUCAUAGCCACUUCGUUUACUCCAUGCUCAUAUGUAACAUCUUCCCAAUCUCUUGGUAUCUCCAACAUCACCACAUUUGAGAUCUCCAACCCGCUCUUCCUUUCUAUUUAUAAAAACUUCAAAAGGGUGGUUGUCGAUGCAUAUGUCUAUAAUAAAUAUUGCAGAUCUCGUUGAGUUGAUCUUGAUAUAGAUCAGUGUUGGAGGGGAAACCACUUCGCCGACAUAAAUUGAUGGUUUCCCAAGGACAAGCUUAGUGUCCUAAAAUAAGCACUGAUCAGAUCGUAACAUGAGCUUUUGAUUAUUUGCAACAUUACCUUGUGUAUUGAGCAUAUAAGGAUAAUUGUAAAAAUAUUCCUUUGGGUUUUCUUGUCACUAACCUUUCCAGGAUUGGAGCAAGAAGAUCGGAUGAAUGACAAGCACAAGGUAUGUCCAACCAACCAUCAUACAACAUUGAAUUAAAUUCAUCCAAACUUGAAUUUUGCAAAAUUCAAGCUUGGGGGAGUACUUUACAUAAAAACAUCAUUUGCCAUGUUGCUAUGUUGGUUGUCCCUACCUUUAAGACAUGCUCAAUUUGUUAAAUACUAAUCACACUACUUCAUCUCCACUUGAGUAGAUCGCUAUAAAUGCUCUCAUGCUACCUUUAUUUGCUUUAGUAUAUGUCUAGGUUUGGAGUAGUUUCAUUUAUCUCUUAAAUAAGCAUGAUGCUUAGUUUAGGAAUGAUGAUCUUACUUCCAAGGGAUUAUAAAUUAAGCAUGGUGCUUAGGUUAAAAUGUCCUCCUAAAUCAAAUUAGACGUGGUGUCUAGGUUGAUUUUUGAGCCGAUAGUAUGCUAUAGUAGAUAUUGGAUAUUUUGUUGGACUAACCCCUGCAGGAAAACUUUCAAUAUCGACCUGGGAAGUCCUGAGAUAAACUCGCAUUGGAGACAAAGAGAGAGACACAUGAAGUUUAACAAUUUACACAAGGAAGACAUACCUCAUAAGAGAUGAUCCAUGGAGGGUGCCGCAAACACGAUGCACAACCGCUAAGAAAGGAAAGCUUCCACAAGGUGAUACUGUAUCAUCACACUUCAAGUAAGGUAACAUCUUAAGGUACUUGACUAUCACUUUUAUAAUCUUCUCCUUGGUUCUGGCGUUCACAUGAAUAAAAGAGACAAACAUGUAUGAUUUACAACUCUAGAUUAACCAACCCAAUUGAUUCAACAUGUUUAGUCCUUCCACCAUUGUGAUCCCACACUCAUAAUCAUAUGAGCUAAAAUGUUGCACACUCAAUCUUUGGAAGAUAUAUAUAAAAAAAUAUAAAUAUAGAUAGAUUAUCUUUCCAUUAGGUUGAGCGAUCUGAUCUGACAAAUGUUUUAAAUGUUAUACUCAUGAUCUUAUUAUCCAUCAACUUUGUCUUGCUCACUAUGCUUAAGGUUAGAGAAGGACAAAUACACUUUUGGUUCUGUUGGUGUUUUCCACCAAUAGGGCCCAUGCACUUGAUCUCUGCCUUGUCUCUAUGAGCAGGUACACUUCGAGCAAAACAUGGAGGAGUUUUACAACUCCCAGACUCCACCAAGUGAAGGACAUGGAUCUACGAGCACAAACACAAUGAGCAGGAUGUUGCCAACGCCGCUCUUCGAACUGCUGGGCAAACGAAGAACAUGGGUGACACUGUAUCAAAAGGUGCAGACGUCAAGGUCCACACCUGAAUCAAAUAACACACCUAAAGAAUGAACAUGGUGAGAAGUCUUGUUCAGAAGACUUAAAACAUUGAACUCUCGCCGUAAGGUAAAAUCGGUAGUUAUCCAUAUUUAUCCUUUCUACAUUCCCUUUAUUUACUUUCCUUAAAUAGCUUGUUAGUUAAUCAUGCUAUCUUGAAAAGAAAUUAAAAAUGUUAAAAACAGUAAGCCUCAUGUGAGUAUGCUCGUGGCAUAAAACCCAUAAGUACAUUCACUGUGGUGGCAUAAAAAUAAAAAUAUUCCUAUCCUAUAAAAAUGAAAAUAUAAAAAUAAAUUUAUGAUCCUACCAAAGAGAGUAAUAUUUAUUGAGGAGGCUCAACAUGACAAAGACUAGAUAUUUAUGGUAACACUUAACUAGUUCCACAAAGCUUUGUUGUCUAUUUGAGCUCCACAGAAUUCAAGGACCAGAGAAUACUAGCAGACGGAGGACAUCCUAAUCGCUGUCAGGGUGCUGCCGACAUUCAAAUACACCUCCGCCACCUACUAGCUACAUCAGAAGAAAUUACGUCAAAAUCCAGUGGGGGAGAGCACCCCAUUUAUCCAACUAAGUGCUUCUACUCGCGUUUAUACUUUACUCAAAUAAUAAAAAGAUGCAUUAACCAUAAAAACCCAAAUAAAGAUUUUGUGCUUAUAUAUAUAUAUAUAUAUAUAUAUAUCUUUGCUUAGUUUGCUAAAUAAAUAAAUAAAGUUUGCUAUGAACUCUCAUGAUAAGCUCUCACAUGGAAAUGAUGAAUAGUUACUCUGCCAUGACUAGUUCCCAAAAUUGAAAUCUCUCUCAAGUUUAGGCAUGACUGUUAUGAAUUAAGAUUUUCUCUAAACCUGAACUUGUGGGAAGAGUACUUGAUCUAAAGUCUAAGUCGUUAACGGAAACGAUAUGAGAAGGUUGAGCUGUUGUUUAUCUGUUCCUAGAGAUGCUAGAAUUCUGCAGAAUUUUAUCUUUGAAAAUCUUUAAAAUGUUGCAUGAUGAGUUCCUGUAUGAUGAGAGUUUAAAAUCCUACCACAGCCAUAUAUACAUGCUUAUUAGACUAUGAACCAUACAUUUACUUUUUACUGCUUAUAAGCAUUGAGUGUGGUCAUGCUGUAUAGACCCUUAGGAGCUUGUCAUGCGGUUAAAAUCAAGAUUCACUUGCACGUUCACUCAUACAUGCUACUUCUACUCCGGAAGUACGCAUCCACAUACAUCCACUCAAUUCCAUCUCUAGAUUCACCUAAAAUUAUUCUACUCCUAUCCGGGAGAGAAUAGCCAAACACUUUUUUCUAUCCCUGUUAUUCCCUGUGAAAUAAAUGCUUGAGUUAUCUUAGUUACUACCACUUGCUAUAUUAUUCUAGGAGGAUGAGCGCUCUGGAAAAAAUAUGAAUACGAGGAAAUAAAAAGGGGCAAGUGCCCGAAACCUCGAAAAAAGAAAAAGUGAGACGAGAGGUAAAAAUGGACAAGUGUCCGACAGUAGAAUUAGGGGCACAAGAUACCCACCUAAGAGAAAAGAAAAAGAAAAUAUAGAGCAUCUCAUUCCCCUCAAAAAGCUACAAAGUGCAAGAAAGGUAUGUAUCCCCUCAAAAGAGCAAAAGUAGAAUUAGACUUUCACCAUUGUUUUCACCAUUAUCACCAUCAUCACCAUACAUCAUUCAUUCGCCACACUUGCACAUCUUGAUUUGACUUAUUGACUUGAUUAUCUGGAUCCAUGGUUUGACUAUGCAAUAAAUGUUUUGUAAGUAUGUAUACUUUAUCUCCCACCUAUGAGCUCCAGAUAUCAAAGCCUUAUUAGAGUAGGGUGAGAGAGAAGGCAAUGUCACUAUGCCUCAUACCAAAAAUACCACAUACUUUGAGAGAAGGCAUACACCAUUACUGCCUUGGUAAGGAUCCAGAAAUACCACAAAAGAGAGACUAGAGAGAGUCAUACAAGGAAUCUCUGAGUUUUAUUUGAAAAUCUGCAAAAAACACCAGAGCUAUAGUUGAUCAAGAACAAGAAACAUGGCGCUUGACUUGACCGUUCUAUCCUUUAACUACUUAAGACUCAAGUAACGGUUACAAGCCCCAUGGUGGAAGGUAAUAUGAGUAAGUUUAAAUCUUAACAGUUUACCCUAACCCAG